CAGGAAUAUCCUUUGGCCUUAACAUGAUUCAUUUGACUCUAGCUAAUUUUUUGCACUCUUUUGAAAUACUUAAUAAACCCAAUGAGCCUAUUGAUAUGAGUGAAGCCCUUGGAAUGACCAAUGAAAAAGCUACUCCACUUGAGAUUCUAGUUAAACCACGUUUGUCUUCUAAGUAUUAUGAAUCCUUGUGAUGUGGUAGCAGUAUACUGUCAGAUAGGAUCACUCUUCAUCUGUUUCAAUAAAUCAGUUCAGUGUGUAAUUUGUAAUCUUCAACAUUGUUAAAGAUUGCCAUUGGAAUUUCUAUCAGUGGAAGUGAGUGAAGGAUAGAGAUUAUCUCAACACUGGACAUAUUUGUUCCACACAUUUAUCUCAACAUACUUUUGCUAGCAUGUACUUGGUCUAACAACAGCAGUUCCAAGUUCAGGGUUUUGAUGCAGUUUUAUAGUUCUGCUGCAUAAUUCUGAGUGUUGGUUUGUCGUGCAGUUGAGAACAAAGUAAUCUUGGUACUGUUUUUGGAUCUGGAAUUACAUGUUUUAGUGUGCUUUUAAUAGGUCUGAUGGUGUUAGGGAGAUUUAUAAAGUUUAAAAAAAUCCUUUACUACCUUGCCACUGUUUUCAUCUUUGGGAGAAAUGGAUUCACUCCCAAAGAUUGAGUACUUGCUAAAGCUUGAGUACUUAGGAUAGUUCUUGUUGAAGCUUUAUGUGUUCAGGUUUUUUAACUAGUGAUAGUGUAGAGGUAGAUUUGUCAAAACAGGGGAGGGAAAAAAAACUUAACAUCACAACACAUUUGAAGACUUGGGAAAAAAAUAUAUACUUUUUUUUUCCUUAACUAAGUUUUUAUUCUUAAGAAAGGUCCUUGUUUGACAAUUUUAAUGAAAUAGAAGCAUUAGCUUGUAUAAAUAAUAUAUCAUAACCAUUUAAAUCCAUGUCGAAAGCUAAUGUUUUUUAUUUUAAAAUUUAUUUAAUUUAACGUCAGUUUCACCCACAUUAAUAUUUUUUAUUUAUUUUAAAGUUUAUUUAAUUUAACGUUUGCUUUAUCCACAAGAUAUUUUUUUAUUUUAAAAUUUAUUUAAUUUAGUGUGUGUUUGAGUCUCACUAAUAAUUUUUAUUUUAAAAUUUAUUUAAUUUAAUGUGAACUACAAACUAUAUAAAAACUAUUUUUAAUAUCAAUUUAAAUUGUGUCGAUUUCACCAACAUUAAUGUAAGUAGUUUUGUUUAUCAAUAAUGAAUAAAUAAAUUAAAAGGAAACACUUUAAGGAUAUUUCAACUCUUAUAUAAGAACCAAUAAAACUUCACUUUGGAAGAUUUUAUAUUAUUGUCACAAACAGUUUGUUAAAAAAUGAUAAACUUUUUUUUUUACCUUACCUAGGUUUUUAUUCUUGAGAAUGUCAUUGUUUGUAUUAGCUUAUAAAAAAUAGAUUCCCAAAGCAUUAGCUUGUAAAAAUAAUAUACCACAAGCAGCAUUCAAAUCAAUUGGGAAUGAAACUCCUUCAAUCAUACACAACAAACUACAAGAAAAUAGUUAUUAUUUAACAUAUCCAAAGAAGACACUAAUUAACUAAUAGAGUUGGAUGCAUGUGUGAUUUUAAAAUCGUUGAUACUAAAUCAUUAAUAUUGAGACUCUAAGUAACCGACGCUAAUUUGUCAUUCAUUUUUAAUUAAAAUAAUUUAGUGUUGGUUUGGUUGACACUAUAAUGUUUAAGUGUGGGCAAAAAAUCCAAAUUACGAAAUCCAAUCCAUAAUUAUCCAAAUUCAUAUUUUUGGAUUUUAAAUCCAAUCUAUCUAACUGGAUGUGGAUUAAAUAUAGAUUGGAUACAUUUUUGGAUUAUCCAAAUUGCAUUUUGGGUUGGAUUUUGACUUGACCCGAUCCAGGUUGAGCCAAGACACUCCGGGCCCAGGUUGAACAAAGUCGACCAAAGUCCACGUCGAGCCUAGUCGUCCGGGCCCAAGUCGAAUCAAAUGGUAUGGACCAAAGUCGAGCCGAGUCAACCCUAGACCAAGUCGAGCUGAGUGGCCGAUAUUGAGUCGACCCGAGUCAGCCGGGGCUGAUAUCAAGCCGAGUUGGCCCAUGCCAAUAUCUAGUCUACCCGUUCCGGGCCCAUGUCGAGCUGAGUUUUUCGGGUCCAAUAUGAAGUUGAGCGGGCUCGGGCUGAUAUCCAAACGACCAGGCCAUGGCUGAUGUCGAGUCGAGCUGGCCCAGCUCGAUGUUGAGUCGAGCACGUCCGGGCCGAUGUCGAGCCGAGCGGGCCAAGACCGAUAUUGAGUCGAGCGAGCUCGGGCCGAUGUCGAGUCAUCCGGGCCCGGGCCAAUGUCGAGUCGUUAGAACCCGAGUCGAUGUAAAAUCGUUCUGGCCCGGGCUGAUGUCGAGACUUCCGGGUCCGAGCCGAUGUCGAGUCGUCUGGUCCCAAGUCGAUGUCGAUUCGUCUAGGCCCAGGUCAAUGUCGAGUCGUUUGGGCCUGGGCCAAUUUCGAGUUGUCUGGGCCCGGGCCGAUGUCCAGCCGAGUUGGUCCGCAUCCAAGUUGAGUCGGCUUAGGCAUAGUUGGAGCCAAAUUAGUCUGUGUCUAUAUCAAAAUAAAUUUAAUGUAAUUGAUAAAGUGAAUUUAAUCUAAUUAACAAAGUGGAUUUAAUCUAAAUUUAAUCCACUUUAAAUGGAUUUUAAAAAAAUUCAAAUAAAUUUGAUAUAAUUAUGAAUUUUAAAUUUAAUCCAUUUAUUUAGAUUUGGAUUUAGAUUGGAUUUUCAUCAUCACCCUAAUAAUGUUUUUUUAUUUUAAAAUUUAUUGAAUUUAGCAUUGAUCCAUGCUAAUAUUUUUUAUUUUAAAAUCAAGUACACAUUCAAAAUCUUCAUUCGUAAGUAUGUUUUUUCAUAAAUUUUCUAAAAUAUGUAAUUCCAAGGUUUUAAGUACAUUUCAAAUUGUAUUUUCCAAAAAAUAUAAAGAUUUAAAAUGUCAUUUUUUUCAUCUUUCUACUAUACUAAAAAAAGUACAUAAAGAAAUUAUAGAAAGGAUGCAGGAAGCAAUUUCCCACUUUCCUUUUCUUCCUAGUUGAUCAUUAUUACCAACCGUCUGCAUAUGCGCUGCUCUUGUUUUUGGUCCACAUGAGUCAGAGUGACCAUAGAAUCUUAUCUUCCUGGUCAACUAUCCUUGCUCACCAAGGUUCUCAAAUUAUUGACUAUUCUUCAACUUUAUGAAAUAAAAACAAAUAUGUUUCAGCCACCUUAAAAUAACAAUUUUUGUCUCCAUUAUGCAGAACAUACUAAUAGAUUCUAAUACUUGCAGAUCAAGCACACCAACAUGGGGUGACAUGUUAAACAAAAUGACCUCAUAUUGGUCCAACCAUGCGGCCAUGCACAAGACCCUAUACGCAUCUUCUCCCUAUAAAACCAGAAAGGAAAACAAGUUCAAAUAUAUUCCACCAUAACAAGCAAAAAUGGACUUUCUCCUAAAUUGCUUCACCUUAAAAAUCACCACUCUUAUUGUAUCCUUCCUUUCUCUAUACUUCUUCAUUUUCUAUCUAUAUCGGAGAAAUUCUCGUGGAAAACAGGCUCCAAUAGUGAAAGGUGCAUGGCCAAUACUUGGUCAUCUUUCACUCUUGAAUGCCUCACAAACACCCCAUUGGACUUUGGGUGCUUUGGCUGACAACUAUGGACCCUUGUUCACCAUCAAGUUCGGUGUCAAAGAGGCCUUGGUGCUCAGCAACUGGGAAAUGUCCAGGGAACUCUUCACCACCAACGACCUUGCCGUUUCAUCACGUCCUAAACUCGUUGCCGUGGAAGUCAUGUCCUACAACCAAGCCUUUGUAGGGUUGUCACCAUACGGAUCUUAUUGGCGAGAGCUUCGAAAGAUUGUGACUUCUGAGUUUCUCUCCAACCGCAAAAUAGCGCAACUCAGCCACAUUCGUGUCUCAGAGGUUCAAACCUCUAUGAAAGAGCUCUGCAAUUUAUGUUAUACUAGUGUAAACAACAAGAACAAAAAGGAGAAUGAAUCUUAUAGUGCUGCUACUUUGGUGGACAUGAAGGAGUGGUUUGCACAUUUGACUUUCAACAUUAUAGUGAGGAUGGUGGUGGGGAAGAGGUACUUUGGUGUGGUGCAUGUGGAGGGAAAGGAGAAGGCAGAAAGGUUUCUGAAGAACUUAGAGGAGUUCAUGAAUUUGAUGGGGACUUUCACUGUGGCUGAUGGAGUUCCUUGCUUGAGGUGGUUUGAUUUCGGGGGCUAUGAGAAGGCCAUGAAAGCAACCGCUAAGGAAAUGGACAAGCUGUUGAGUGAGUGGUUGGAGGAGCACCGUGAGAAGAAGGGUGAUGGAGACUUUAUGGAUGUGAUGAUUUCAGCACUGAAUGGGGCUCAGCUUGAAGGGUUUGAUGCUGAUACAAUAUGCAAAGCCACUUCCCUGGUUAGUACUACAAUAUAUUUAAAUACUUGCCAUCAUUUCAAAGAUUGAAUGUAUUCCACUUUAUUUCUCUGUUUUGAAUGAGAGGACCCUUUUGAUGAAACUUGAACAUAUUUGCAGGAAUUGAUUUUGGGUGGAACUGAUACAGCUGCUGUUACUCUUACAUGGGCACUAAGUCUGCUAUUACGAAAUCCUCUUGCAAUGGAAAAGGCUAAAGAAGAAAUUGACAUGCAUAUUGGCAAAGAUGGACACGUAAAAGAGUCAGAUAUAAGCAAACUUGUGUAUCUUCAAGCCGUAGUUAAAGAGACAUUGAGAUUGUAUCCACCAGCACCUCUUUCAUCACCUCGUGAAUUCAUAGAAAAUUGCACCUUAGGUGGCUACCACAUCAAAAAGGGAACUCGACUGAUGCAUAACUUGUGGAAGAUCCACAGAGACCCCAGUGUUUGGUCAGAUCCAUUAGAAUUCAAACCAGAAAGGUUCCUCACCACUCACAAACAUGUGGAUCUUAGGGGUCGCCAUUUUGAGUUGCUACCCUUUGGAAGUGGGAGAAGAAUUUGUGCUGGAAUGUCCCUUGGCUUAAACGUGAUCCAUUUCAGUUUGGCUAACAUGUUGCAUUGCUUUGACAUCUCGAAUCCUUCGGCUGAACCUAUUGAUAUGACCGAGUUCUUUGGAUUUACCAAUACCAGAGCUACUCCACUUGAGGUUUUGGUUAAGCCACGCCUAUCUCCAAACUACUAUGAAGCUUUAUAAUCCUUAUGUAAGGCAUUGUCCAUGGUUCAAAGUUAUGGUUGCGGUUGCAGUUACAAUUUCCUCGCAAAACUUGACAUUACAGGAAAUUGUGGACAAAUGCGGACUAAGUGAUUGUGAUGAGUUGAAAAACCUUUAUUUUGCGGCUGAAGUUGCAGUUGUUAACUUCAAUUUAGAACUACGGUUUUGUGAGUCUUAUAUGUUGUAUGUGUUCAAAUCGAAUCAUGGUUUGUGGUCUAUUCUAAGUUAUGUGAACUUGUGAUAGUUUUGUUCCUAGGCAGAUUUAUGUCACACGUAUUUAGCUGUCAUGAAAUAAAUGUGAUCUUGUAAUAAAUUUAUUUGUAUCACUGUAUGGGUUUGUGAUUUUUUGGAGAAGAUAUUAUCAUAAAAGAAUAAAUGAGAUGAAGUUGUUCAUUCCCAAUUUCCGAGGGUGCUUUGGAUUUAUUCUAUGAAUGAAUUGCUUAAUUGGUUAACCGUGAGUGAUGAAGUUGUCUGUGCAAUAAUUGGAAACCAGAGGCAAAAUAGAGAGUGUACUAAUUAGCGUAGCAAAUAAUAAGAAAGUGAUGCAUAACAGUGAACUAUAGGACAAAUGAUCUAAACUGCAAAAUCCACAAUUGAAGCUUGAAAAGUAAAGGUGUUUGGCUAUUGGGGUUGUUGGAUUUGGUUAAGGGGAGGGGUAGUAAGUACUUAUGUUCCACUUAGAGUGAUUAUUUUUUCACCCUCAUUUUGUGUAUGUACUAAUUAUAUAAAUAUAUAUAUAUAUAUAUAUAUCACUUUCUGAUCUUAAAGAAAUUAAAAGAAAAAUAAAACUUUAAUUUAAUGUCAUGUCAUGUUAAUAAACUGGAAAAUUAUUAUUGUAAUAUAAAUUUGUAAAAUUCUAUUACAAAUUAGAAAAUAAAUACGACCACACUUUUUUCAAUUAGAAGCGAAAAUUUAUAUAUAUGUUAGGUUUUUGUCUUCAUUAAAACCAACACAUGUGGUAACCUUCCAUUUCCGGUUUGAAAAUAUGUAAACCUCUUUUAUCAAAAUUAAGAACUCAUGAUAAUAUCUUUAUACUAAAAAAUAAAAAAUAAAUAAAUGCUUUGUUUAUUUACCAAUAUAACUUACCCAUUCAUUUAUACCUUUUUCUUUUCAAAAUUUUAAGAUUAUUUCAUAUUUUGUUAUAAAAAAAUAUUAUAUUACACUGACUUUGUUAUUAAAGAAAGAGUAGAUAAUUAAGUGAAAGAGGAAAAAGUAAUGAUGGAGGUACAAAUUUUUCUAAGUUAACUUCUUUAUCUUGAGUGAAAAUGUAUAAAUUAAUAUCAAAAUUAAAAGAAUGGAUUGACAGUUUUUUUUAUGGACAAAGAAUAAUUAAAUUAAGAUAAAGGGACACUUUAAGAGUGUUCCAACCCUUUUACAUAUUUCAUUAUUAGCUAGCUUAAACUAAAAUUAAAAUUAGCUGAAUUUAUAGCACAACAUGUAACAAGCUUAAGCUUCCUAAAUAGCUUUACAACCCACGGCCAACACACCCACUUUUUCUGCAUAAAAAACCAGCAACACUCUUCCGCUCCCUUCACUCUCCAUGAGCCUUUAGAGUUGCUAAACCCAAUUCAGUGCGUUGAUAGAUAAACCAAAUUCUACAUUCUUCUGCGUAAUUAUGCAGAAUUAAAAACCAUAUUGUACUAAUAACAAGUUGCAAUUGCAAUGGCCAUAAGAUUUUGUACUGGUGAUGAAUUAACAACUAUGGAUGGAUCCUAACCCCAAACCAAAAAAAAAAUAUACAAAUUCAAACGAUUCAUAAUUAUAUAAGUUUCUAACAGAAAAUGGUAGAUUUAUGAUAGGACAUGAAUAAGCCACUUGACAAAAGAAUAUGAUGCUUUUAAGAAAAAAACCAUCCAAAGGUCUUUAAUUAUAUUUCUAUAUUUUUUUUCUAAGUUUUAAAAGUCUUGUCUUGAUAUUUGCGUGUUAUUUCUUGGGGAAUUCUUUGUAUUUUUUUUCCAAUUUUCCCAUAUAAAGUCUUGUCUUUUCAUUUUUCUUAGCAAUAAUAGAAUGAAAAAUUUGACUUAUUUAAAAAUAUUCAGUAUUAUUGGAGCAUUUUUGUCCGUUCACUACUUUAUUGUUUGAUAGAAUCUUAUCGUCCGGAACAAUAAUUAAAUGGUGCAUAGAAUUCAACUGUGUAAGGGACCUAUUUGGAUUAGAAAGUACUCAUACUUUGUUCAACUAAGUCACGUACUUUGUUUCCUUCUAUCUUUUUUCACGAUGACAGAACAGUAGGGAUCAUCAGUGUUUUGAUCUGUAAAUUUAAAAAGAGUGUGAAGAUGGAAAAAUGAGUGAGAGAUCAUUUGUUUCUUCUCUCUCAAUAGUAUAGAAAGUCAGCAAGAAAUAUUUUUGAAAUUUGGAAUCAGAGUUAUUAAUACUCCGAAUCAACAAUUGAUUAUGUUUUUCUUUUUUUUUAGGUGGAUAAUCAAUUAUAAAUAUGUAAAAUUAUGAAAGAUAAUCAAUUAUAUUUUGUCGAGUUUCUUAAAGAGAGUUGUCUCACGUCCUAGGUGAUCUCUACUUACCCAUAUGUGUUGGUUUCAGGUAUAGAUAUCCAUUUGUUGAAGGUCGUUCGAGCUUUUUCUAGGAGUAUGACAUGGAUUACUUUGGUGUUGAGUGUCUGGUACUCAAAUUUUAGCUCGAGACAUUUUCUCUACCUCUUCUUACCCUUAAAAAGCAAGGGCACCAUGCGUCCUUGAACUGGUAACCAUCUUUCGAUUAACCUAGCUUCCUCCGUCUCUCGAGACCAACAAAAGAUAGUACAUGAAUAUUCACCUGUUAUCCAUCGAUUAUGCCUUUCAACCUGAUUUUAGACCCUGACUCACCUCUUUAAAUUGAUAAUCGAUUAUGGAUGAAAGAGAAUAGAAGAUAAUCGAUUUUUGUUCUGUUCUUCCUUCUUCAUCCUGUCAUCCGUGGUUUGUUUCCUACAUCUUUCUUUACUCUUUUUUUAAUUAUAUCCUCUUUUUUCCAACACAACAAAUCCAAAAUAGUUAGAUAAAUAUCAAAUAAACGAGACAAUCUUUUAAUAAUAAUAAUAAUUUUAGAUGGACUGAGAUAUUAUGUGAAUAGUUUUAUUGGUCUAGGAAAUUAUAUCUUUAAUUGGGAAAAAGGGAUCAAUAAUAAUAAAUUGAGAAAGGAAACAAAAUGAGGAUAAGGAAUAGUGGUAUUAAUUCACUACUAAAAUUAACAUUACUAUUAACUUUAUGUAAUAUAAUAUGUAAUGAUACUUUUUUUUAACAUGUUAAUGUAGUUUUUAUGAAUACAUUAAAUUGUAUUUUUUAAUAUAAUAGAUAAUUAAAUUUCAUAAUAUUAUUAAUUUAUAUAUCAUAAUAUUUUUAAAUUUUAAAGAUGCACAAAAAAUUUCUUAGCCAAAUUUUAAAUACUGAUUUACUUUUAAAAUGUAUUAAUUUUUUAAUAUUAAAAUUAUAUAAAUACAUUAAUUUAACUAACAAAAUUAUUUUAAAUUAAUAAAUAAAAAAUUAUAUAAUUAUAAUUAUAUUUAAAUUUAAAUUUUAAAAUUUAUUUAUUUAUUUAUUUUAAUUCUACAUUGUUUUAUUCUUUUAUUUAUAAUUAAAAUUUUAAAUUAUUUUAAUUAACUAAAAUAUACACAAAAUUAAUUAUUAUUUAUUUCUUUUUUUAUAAAAAAAGUAAACUUGUAAUCUUAUAAUUUAUACAAUUAAAAAUAAUUCAAAAUAUCCUUACAACUAUCACAUCACUCACAUAUUUUAAUAAACUUUCCUCACCCAUCUAAUGUAAGAUACUCUAAUCCAAAUAAUGUAAACUUUCUUCACACUUUUUUUUAUCAAAUAUUUACAUUUAUACUCUCUCACACCCUCAACUUUUUACUUCUCAAAUCAAAUAAAACAUAUGUACCUUUUAAUAAAUGUUCAUUGACGAAUGUGAGCUUAAAAUUAUUACACAUCGUUUUCUUAUGCUUUCAUUUAUAUUAAUUUAAAAUCUAAAUAAUUGGUAGUUAAAAUUUUGGUAGCUAAUUAUAUACCAAUUUAGAAACUAUUUAACAAUAAUAGAAACUAAUUUAGAAAUUAAAAAAUUUGUUAGUUUCUAAAAUAAUCUCUAAUUUAGUAACUAUAACAAAUAAUUAUUUUUGUCUCUAAAAUUAAUUUGUUAGUUUCUUGUAGUGAUUAAUUUGUAUGAGAAUUUAUCUUUUAAAAACUUAAUAGUAAUCAAUUUGAUAAAGAUUGAGAAAAAAAAAACAUGGUUUUGUCUUUGCAAAAAUCGUUAGUUGACCAUCAUGAUAAACUUUUACAACACAAAACUUACUAUAAAAUAGAUUAAGAAAAUAAGAUUGAAAAAACUAUUUAAGUUAUUCUUGUGAAUGAAAGUAAAUCUCUAUAUCUAUUAUAAUUAAAUAUGAGAAUUAUAUAUAUACUCAGAAAUUCAGAGUAAUGUUGGUGUCAAUAAAUCAUAACCCAAUCCUUGAAGAAAACUUAUAUUUUUACAUUUUUAUUGAUAUUUUGAGUUCAAUUUAAUUAUUAUAUUUUAAAUUUCAUCUUCAUUUGACUUAGAUUUUUAGAUAUGGAUAUAAUAUUACCAAAUUCAAAAGUAUCUUAAUUUUUUUUAAAAUAAAGCUAAGUUUUGAAAUUGUUGUUAAAUUAGUCCAUCUUAAUUUAGGUUUGAUUUUCAAAAAUUUGGAUUCAAACACAAUUUAUCUAUUAAUAUAACAUGUCUUAAUUUUUAUUAUAUCUCUAUACUUUUCUACUAAAUUUAAAAAGUUGUUAUUUUUGGGAAUUCUUUGUUCACUAGGAUAGAAAAGCAAUAAAUGUGUUUUUGUUUGUUUUCAAUUAAUUAAAAGGAUUGAAAAAGACUGAUUUGAGAAGGAAAAAGAAAGACAAUGAAACAUUAAAUCCUCUGCUCAUACAAACACAACCAUAAAUUCUUGUCUUUUCAAUUUUCUUACCAAUAAUAGAAUAAUUUAUUUUUUUAUUUAUUUUAAAAUAUUCAGUAUUCUUGGAGAUUUUUGUCUCAUUCACUACUUUAUUGUUUGUAGAAUCUUAUCGUCCGGAACAAUAAUUAAGUGGUACAGUUGUAGCCUUACUUUCUGUGCCACUUAUCCUAUGCUAUGCUCAUAUUCGUUAUUGGUGUUGCUUAUAUUCUUACAAUUCUUAAGAUUUAUAUAGUUAUUAAUGUAAAUUGUUUAAAAAUAUAUAUAUAUAUAUAUAUAUAUAUAUAUAAUAAAAAAUAUUAAAGUAAUAAUAUUGUAAAAAUGGAUGUAUGGUUUUUAAAAGUAUUAUUUUUCUUCAAUUAAUAUUAGGGUAUGUAUUAUUUUUCUUUAAUUAAUAUCAUUCUUAUGGAUUUGAAAAGAUUUGAUGUGAAAAUGGGGUUAUUUGGAUUAAUAGAAGAUGAUAAGAAAUAAAGAAAAAGUUUAAAAAAAGUUAAUGAAUGAUGUGAUAUGUGUUAUUGAUAAAAUAUUAUUUUGUAAUAAAUAAAAGUGUAAGAUUACAAAUAUAUCUAGUUAAUAUUAAAUUAAAUUAAAAUAUGAUUAAAUUGUUUUAUGUAUAAAUAAAUAAAAAAUAUGUAAAAAUACUUUACAAAUUUUUUGAUAUAUAUAUUUAGUACAAAUAAAAUGGUUAAUUUUUUUAAAAAAUUAACAAAUAUAAAUUCUAAAUUAUUUAAUAUAUAUAAAUAAAAUUAUUAAAUUAUUAAAAAUUCUAAAUAAAUACAAUUUGGAAGAAAAAUAUUUAAACUUUUCCAUAGGGCCAAAAUGUAAUAGCAUUUACUCUAUAUCGAUUUUUUCCAGAAUCUCUUCAAAGACACAAGGAAAAAAAAUAAUUAUUCUUUGCUUUUCUAUCCACAUGAAGAGUAUUCAUGCGGAAACCUACACUUAGAUUGGAAGGGGAUAUGUGAGGAUUUGAAGAAGAGAUGUGAGAGGAGAGGAAAAUAUGUGUAAGAUUUUGAGGAAAUGGAUGUGUGAGUGCGUGAGAAGAAAGUGUAAAGAAAGUGAAGUAAUUUGAAAUAUUAAAAAAAUAAAUCAGAAAAUAAAUUAGAUCUUACAUAAAUAAAAAAUAUUAUUUUUUAAUAUUAAAAACUAUCUAAUGAAAAAUAAAAAUAUUACAACAACAAAAGUAUAAUCUAAUUAACAAUAAUAAAAAAGAGUUUUAUAACAAAUUAUAACUCAUAAAUAUAAUAAUUACAAAAAAAAUAUAUUUAUAAAAACACAACAAUAAAUUAAAUAAUAAUUUUUUUAAAAUAUACUAUAAAAUUAAAAAAUAAAUCACAUCUUACAUGAAUAAUAAAAAAAAAUGUCCUUACCACUUGCAUAUACAUAUUAAAAUCCAAUUUGUGUAACAUAGAGCAUGGGAUACACAAUCUUCUCUUGGAUAAAAUAAUGGAUCUAAAUGUUUCUGCAAUUGGACUUGUUUCUCUAAUCGUCUUCUGUUUCUUUUUCUAUGGCCACUUCAAAUUUUCUCAAGGAAAAGAAGCUCCCACAGUUGCAGGUGCAUGGCCAAUACUUGGUCACCUUCCAUUGAUGAGUGCUUCAAAGUCACCCCACAGAACCUUGGGUGCUUUGGCUGACAAAUAUGGACCCAUUUUCACCAUCAAACUUGGUGCCAAAAAAGCUUUGGUAAUCAACAACUGGGAAACGGCAAAGGAAUGCUUCACAACAAACGACAUCGUCGUUUCCUCUCGCCCCAAGCUUGUUGCCGCAGAACACAUGAGCUACAACAAAGCCAUGUUUGCCUUAGCACCCUGUGGUCCCUAUUGGCAAAAAAUAAGAAAGAUUACAGUCUCAGAGAUUCUCUCCCCUCAGCGAGUGAAGCAACUACGUCAUGUUUUUGAGUCAGAAGUUGAAGAAUCGAUCAAGGAGCUCUCUAACUUUUGGUGCAGCAACAAGAAUGAGAGCGGUUAUGCCUUGGUGGAGUUGAAGCAAUGGUUUUCUCAUCUGAUAUUCAACAUGGUCCUUCAAAUGAUUACAGGGAAGCGAUAUUUUAGUGCAGCAACUGUGGAUGAUGAGAAGGCACAGAGAUUUGUGAGGGCUGUGGAGGAGUUCAUGCGCCUGUUCGGGGUGUUCACAGUGGGAGAUGCUGUUCCAUGGUUGAGAUGGUUUGAUUUUGGAGGGCAUGAGAAGGCAAUGAAAGAAACUGCAAAAGAGUUGGAUAUUAUUCUUGGUGAGGAGUUAGAGGAACACAGAAAAAGGAAGGGUUUGGGUGAGAAGGAUGAUGAAGUUCAAGAUUUCAUGGAUGUGAUGAUUUCAUUGUUUGAUGGAAUAACUAUUGAUGGGUUCGAUGCAGAUACCGUCAUCAAAUCCACUGUACUGGUAUGGAUCUUUAUUGCAUCUUAUUUUUUUUAUUAAAUCACAUUAUAACUUUAAAUUUUAUUGUACAAAAAUUAAGGUAUUAAAACCAAAACCAUUUAUGAAUUUGAGAAAGAUAAACAAAUAAUAUUAAAUAUUAAAUAACCAAAAUGUUGUGAAGAUGUUAUGAAUUAGGGAUUUAGUGUAAUUUUUUCUUGUAUCUCUAUCACUUUCUUCUUAGAUUUCAUACUUUGAAAAAUACUCAAAUUAUCUUUUAAUAUUUUUUAUUAAAUAUUUUUUCUUUAAUUUCGGAAUAUGCACGUUAACUUCCUGAUUUAUAAAAUUUAGAAGUUAAAAUUUGUGUUUGGGAUUUUACAAUAUUUCUGAUUGUACAAUUCAAAAUUUCAGAUUGUAUAAUUCAAAAUACAAUUUUUUAUAUCAAAUUAUAGAAUUUAAAAUGAAUAAUUUUAGAAUUUUUUACGAAUAUAAGACUGCAAGAUAAAUUAUGAGAUGAAGAAAUAAACUUUUAAAUUUUUAAAAAUGAGGAUUAUGGGGAUAGAUCACCUGUCUCACACUUGGCUUAUGCGGGUUAGGCGAAAUGAUUUAAAUUCUAAAUUUGGUAGCAAAAACUUUGUAGCUAAUUAGAUACAAAUUUAGAAAAUAUUUAACAAUAAUAGAAACUAAUUUAGAAACCAAAAAUUUGUUUAGUCUCUAAAAUGGUCUCUAAUUUAGUCAAUAUAGUAAUUAAUUAUUUUUUGUCUAUAAAAUUAGUUUCUAUUUAAUGAUUUUCUUGUACUGAUGAUUUGUUUAUGUUAUAGAAGAACUUGUGAAUAAGAUCAUAUCCUUAUUUUGUAGUUAGUGAUUGCAGGAGGAACUGACACAAGUAGUACUCUUCUUACGUGGGUAAUAUCUUUGAUUUUGAGAAAUCCUUUGGUAUUGGAAAAAGUAAAAGUUGAACUAGACAUUCAUGUUGGAAAAGAGAAAUGUGUAAGUGAGUCUCAUAUAAGCAAGUUAACAUAUCUUCAAGCCAUAGUCAAGGAAACAUUAAGAUUGUAUCCUCCUGGUCCUCUUUUGGCACCUCAUGAAAUUAUAGAGGACUGCAUUUUAAGUGGUUAUAAUAUAAAAAAAGGAACUCGUCUAAUCACAAAUCUUUGGAAGAUUCACACAGACAAGAAUGUUUGGGAAGAUCCAUUGGAGUUCAAACCUGAAAGGUUUCUUACAACUUACAAAGAUCUCGAUGUCAAAGGUCAUCAUUUUGAGCUAAUACCAUUUGGAGGUGGUAGAAGAAUGUGUCCAGGAAUAUCCUUUGGCCUUGAAGUAGUGCAAUUCUCUCUUGCUAGUAUUUUGCACUCUUUUGAAUUUUUAAGUUCAUCACCUGAUCCUAUUGACAUGACCGAAACCUUUGGAUUAACCAACACCAAAGGCACUCCACUUGAGAUUCUUAUUAAACCACGUCUAUCUUUUAGUUGUAACGAAAACAACUAAUCCAUGUGCUAGCUAUGCUGUCACAAUUUGUUUUCAUUUAAAGUACUUUUUUUCUAUAAUAUUGUUCAAAGUCUUUGUUAUCUUUGUAUUUUCAUUCAAAGUGCUUGAUAUAUUUGUACUUUCCUUCAAAGUACUUGAUAUAUUUAUAGUUUAUCUUGGUAAACUUUGAAACUCUUUCAAAUAUAUAUUAUUUUUAGUAGACUUUCUUUAUUGAGUCAGGUUAGAGAGUUGGACCGUAUUUAGAGAUUCAUUGCUUAAUUCUUAAUCGCGGAUUGAAGUGAUUAAUCCUAUUUGAACGUAAUUGUAUUUAUGUUGUCGAUCAGUUCAUUAAUGUGGAUUACGAUCUCGAUCGGUCACUGAUAAGUCUCGAGAGAUUACAUUAGUCGAUACAAUUAAUGAAUUGCUUAAUUGGUUAACCGUGACUGAUGAAGGUGUGCAAUAAUUGGAAACCAGAGGCAAAAUACAGAGUGCACUAAUUAGCUUAGCAAAUAAUAAGAAAGUGAUGCAUAACAGUUUCACAUAGAAAGAGUUUUGCAAAUCCUUCAACGGGUGGGUGCCAUUUUUACAUGCACCACAUCUCUUUUUUCAGGUAAGUCACGUACUACUUUAAUAUUUAUGUACCCUUUGAUUAAAUGCCUCAUUGGUCAAUGAGCUUACGAUUAUAACACAUCAUUUUCUUAUGCUUUCAUAUUAUAUUAAUAUUCAAAUGACCUACACUGCAAAAUGAUGUGUUAGUAUAACGUGUUUUAAUUUUAAUUAUAUCUCUAUACUUUUUUUCUAUUAGUUUUAAAAGUCUUCUCUUGAUUUGUGCGUCUUAUCUUUAGUCGGGGAUUCUUUGCAUUUUUCCAAUUUUCUCAUAUGUACCACGAGGAACAAAGUCUUGUUUUUUGAAUUUUCUUAGCAGUAAUAGAAUGAAAAUUUUGACUUAUAUGUAAAAAUAUUAUUCAGUAUUACUGGAGCAAUUUUGUCCCAUUCACUACUUUAUUGUUGAGUGGUUCAAUAUUUGUGGCUGAAGACAUCAUAUAUAUAAUAUAUGCGAACCUUAUAUUAUUUUAAUUUAUUUCUUUUACAUGAACUUGGACUUUAUUGAUUCUGGUCUAAAUUAUACACCUUAACCUACCCACAUUCACAAUUCACUUAUGAACAUCUUUUUUCUUAAAUAUCAAUUAACCUUGGAAGAUAUAUACAACAAAUAUCAAGCUAUUAAGGUCAAUAUCUUGUGUUCAUAACACAAUAUUUUUUUCUCAACAAAUCCUUAAAAUAUAUCCUUAACUAUUUUUAAUUAAAUAUUUUAAAACAUAUAUUUUUUAAUUGUUUUUUAUCGUUUAAUUUUUUAUUAAUUAAGUGACAUGAUUAUUAUUUUUCUUACCAUCUUGCGGUUAAUAUAAAAUAAAACAAUAUUAUAGUUAAUGUAAAACAAUAAGCUUAACUAACUUUAUUUUUUCAUAAAAGAAUUAUUAGAUAACGAGUUUAUCAUGUUUUUUUAGUUGUAAUUUUCAUGUCAUCAUAUACCAUAAAAAAAAGAUCAUCACCAUUGAUAUAAAUAGCAAUUAUCAAACACUUUUUCAAUGAAAAUAAUAAAAAUCACUUUUCAAUUUACAUUAAUCACAAUUUAGUUUUAUAUUAAACACAAAACAUCACAUUUUUAAUAUGUGGAAACAAGUAGCAGAGUAAUGGAAUAAAAUAAAAGUAAUGUAAACCACACAAAAUUAAACAAAAAAAAAAAUUCAAUUUUUUUUUUAAUACUAUUUAAUAAAAAUAACCUAGACCUUGAACCCUAAAUUCAUAGUAUUUUGAUUUUUAAAAAAAAUAAAUUUUGUCUUAUUUUUAAAAAAAAAUAUACAAUUUGAUCUGUUUUAUUAAAUUAACAUAAAGAGGAGGAAGUGGUGACAUGAUGUGACAAAGUUAUAAACGCACGUAUAAAAAUGUUAUAAAGUAUGAUUUAAAUUAGUAAUUACAAUUCACUGCAUAAUAAUUUAAAUUUUAAUAUUUUGAAACUUAACCUUAUAUAUUUUAAAUAUUUUUUAUGGCAGCAAACUUUGAAAAUAGUUAUUAAUUAUUAUUAUUAGUGGUAGUUAUAUCUUAUAAAAAUUACAACACAAUUUCCAAGUAAAAUCAUACUUAGUCUUUGAAAAGUUUGACUUUUCCUUCUCUCUGAAGGAAUGAAGGAUCUAUUUAACCACUCCUACUUUACCCUACCUGAAACACACAGAGCCUCAACUCGCUCAAAUGGAUUUGGUUGUAAAUUCCUUGAAUGCAACCACCAUUGCACUCGCUUCUCUAAUUCUCUUCUGUUUCUUUCUCUAUGGUCUCUUCAAAUUUUCUCGAGGGAAAGAACCUCCCACAGUUGCAGGUGCAUGGCCAAUACUUGGUCACCUUCCAUUGAUGAGUGGUUCAAAGUCACCCCACAGAACUUUGGGUGCUUUGGCCGACAAAUAUGGACCCAUUUUCACCAUCAAACUUGGUGCGAAAAGGGCUGUGGUAAUCAACAACUGGGAAAUAGCAAAGGAAUGCUUCACCACAAACGACACAGUCGUUUUCGGUCGCCCCAAGCUUGUUUCGGUGGAACUCAUGAGCUACAACCAAGCCAUGUUUGCCUUAGCACCCUAUGGUCCCUAUUGGCGAAAAAUAAGAAAGCUUACAAUUUCAGAGAUUCUCUCCCCUCAGCAAGUGAGGCAGCAACGUCAUCUUUUUGAGUCAGAGGUUCAAGAAUCGAUCAAGGAGCUCUUUGACCUUUGGCGCAGCAACAAGAAUGAGAGCGGCUAUGCCUUGGUGGACUUGAAGCAAUGGUUUUCUCAUCUGAUAUUCAACAUGGUCCUUCAAAUGAUUACAGGGAAGCGAUAUUUCAGUGCAGCAACUGUAGACGAUGAGAAGGCACAGAGAUGUGUGAGGACUGUGGAGGAGUUGAUGCGUCUGAUGGGGGUGUUCACAGUGGGAGACGCUGUUCCUUGGUUGAGACGGUUUGAUUUGGGAGGGAAUGAGAAGGCUAUGAAAGAAAUUGCUAAAGAGUUGGAUAUUAUUCUUGGUGAGGAGUUAGAGGAACACAGAAAAAGGAAGGGUUUGGGUGAAGCUAAAGAUUUCAUUGAUGUGAUGAUUUCCUUGUUUGAUGGAACAAUUACUGAUGGGGUCGAUGCAGAUACCGUUAUCAAAUCCACCAUACUGGUAUGUAUCUUCAAUAUGAACAUUAUAAUCCUUUCAAACUUCAACCGUCUAGUAUUUUAUUUUUCUUUCUAAUUUUGUUUUCUGCAUGGCACAGUAUAGCAUGGUUGAAUAGUGUAUAUUAGGGAUAACGAUCUGAGUCAACCCAUUCUAGAUAGAUAUGUCCUGUUAAAAAGUACAGAUUAAUUCUAUUGGUUUAUCUCUAAGGAAAAGAUUUCUUUAACAUCCAAAAAUAAAAUACAUACAAUUUAACAAAUCAUUAUAAUAAUAUUUUUAAAUUAAAAAAUAAUAUAACAAUGUUCUGAUUUUCAAUAAAAUUUGAAUUUUGAUUAUAAUAAUAAAUUAUUUAAUAAAAUAUUUUAUUAAAUAUAUACAUUUUUUUAAAGGUAAAUACAUUAUUACUAUUAAUUUGAAAAAUAAUAUAUUUAUAUAUAUAAUACAACCUUUAAAUUUUAUUAUAAAAAAGACUAAGGUAUUUUUUUUUUUUGAAAUGUCCCUUUUAAUUCAAUUUUAUUUUUUGUUGACAAAAAAAAUAUACUUUUUAGAAAGAUAAAAAACACCAUUUAUUAAAAAAUCAUUAUUGAAUUUUGUGAGGGUGAUAUAAAUUAGGGAUUGAGUGUAGAUUCUUCCUGCAUCUCCAUGCCUUUCUUCUUGCAUCCCAUUAUACAAAAAAUACUCAAAUUAUGCUUUGGCAUUUUUCUUUAAUUCCGAAAUGUGACAUUUAAUUUGGAAGUUAAAAUUUGUUUUGGGAUUGUACAUUAUUUCAGAUUGUACAAUCCAAAAUACAAAUUUGUAUACUAGAUUAUUGAAUUUGAAAUAAAUAAUUUUACAACUUUUGAGAAUAAGAGGUUGCUAGAAGAAAUAAAUAAGAUGAAGAAAUUAAAUAAAUUUAUGAAUUAAAAUUAGUUUAUAUAUGAAUUAAAAAUAAUAUUUUAUGUAAAUUGAUUUUAAUAUAUGAUUUUUUUUUUGUUUUAUAGAAGAACUUGUGAAUAAAACCAUAUUCUUAAUUUGUUUAAUUUGCAGACACUGAUUGCAGGAGGAACUGACACAAGUAGUGUUGUUCUUGUGUGGGCAAUGUGUUUGAUUUUGGGAAAUCCUUUGGUAUUGGAAAAAGUGCAAGCCGAACUAGACAUUCAUAUUGGAAAAGAGAAAUGCGUAAGUGAGUCUGAUAUGAGUAAGUUAACAUAUCUUCAAGCCAUAGUCAAAGAAACUUUAAGAUUAUAUCCUCCGGGUCCUCUUGCGACACCUCGUGAAUUCACAGAGAAUUGCACUUUAGGUGGUUAUAAUAUAAAAAAAGGAACUCGACUAAUCACAAAUCUUUGGAAGAUUCACACAGACAAGAAUGUUUGGGAAGAUCCAUUGGAGUUCAAACCUGAAAGGUUUCUUACAACUUACAAAGAUCUCGAUGUUAAAGGUCAUCAUUUUGAGCUAAUACCAUUUGGAGGUGGUAGAAGAAUGUGUCCAGGAAUAUCCUUUGGCCUUGAAGUAGUGCAAUUCUCUCUUGCUAGUAUUUUGCACUCUUUUGAAUUUUUAAGUUCAUCACCUGAUCCUAUUGACAUGACCGAAAACUUUGGAUUAGCCAACACCAAAGCCACUCCACUUGAGAUUCUUAUUAAACCACACCUAUCUUUUAGUUGUUAUGAAAACAACUAAUCCAUGUGCUAGUUAUGCGGUCACAAUUUAUUUUCAUUCAAAGUAUCGUUCAAAGUCUUUGCUAUCUUUGUAUUUUUGUUCAAAGUGCUUGAUAUAUUUUAAUUUUCCUUUAAUGUACUUGAUAGAUUUAUAGCUUAUCUUUGUAAACUUUGAAACUCUUUCAAAUAUAUCAUUAAUAAAAAGAAUAAUUACACCGCAUAUUCUCACUACUUUAUUCCUUCUUUAUCGAUAUUUUCUUUAUAUUUUUCAAGUCCCUCUUAUGGAAAUAAAUCUUUGUAAAUUUUUUUCCUCUAUACAUCCUUCCAACUAGUAAGGCUCUGAUUUGGAUGUGAUUUGAAUCAUUCUUUAGCUUUUCCUGUCAAUGAGAAAGGAAAUAAACGUAGAUAAACAGUUUCAAUAUCACCUGAUUGAAAGUCUAUUGUUCCUACCAAUUCAUAAAAUGUAGACAAAUGUGUAUAUGGAUCCUCAUGGUCCAUUGUUGUAAAUUGAUGGGUACUUAUCAGACUGAGGAAUGCAGGUUUCAUCUCCAAGGCGUUGGUGGUAGAAGGUAUUGCAAUACUAGAGAAAUGAUGGCCUCUGGUGCAUAGCAUAAUCUCCAAGUGUUCUCUUGGGUUGUUGAUGACUUUUUACGGCAAGUGCACUGUGUUUGUCAGAAGUAAUAAUUGUCCCUAAGAACGAAUAUCAAUCCACAAGGAACAAUGAAGUGAAUUAUUGAGUACAAAAUUCGCUAAAUAUAACAACAGAACAAUAAAAAGAGUUUUGAAGUGAUUGUGUUGACACCGAUCAAUAAUAAAAUAAACAAAGAAUUAGUUGCUUGAAUUGAAAAAAUAGGGAUUAGGUUUCAUUUUUCUCACUCUCAUGUAUUUUGAUUAGGAUGUUAAUAUUAAGUUCUUUGAUUGAAAUUGAUGGCCAUAAAAAAUUCAUUUUUAUCGAUCCCUCGCAUAUAAAAUCCUUAAAAAUGUUUCCUAAAUAUCGAUCCCUUGCAUAUUUAUAAAAACAACUUAGAAUCCCAUUGAGACGUUAAUGUCAAUUAACAUUUCAAGUUUAUCCUUAACACUCAAAUAUGUUAAGUAUUGUUGUUCAGGUUUGAACCCUAAAAAUACCUCUCGGUUAGAUUUAAGACUAUCAAUUUGUCACGGAAAGUUAAAAGUAAAACAACAAUACCAAUAAUCAAUCAAGAACUUAAUAUUAAUAUAUAAGAUAUCACCUCAAUAUAUAAGAGUUUGAGCAUAUUACUCCAAAUCCAAAAUGGUAAAAUUAGCCACGCAUACUUCUAGCACCUUCCAUUCUCCUAAUUGGGUUACAAUUCACUCUAUGGUGUUUUCCUCUCAAUCUGACACAGUAGGAUUGAGCCUCUAGCCCCCUAUUUAUCCUAAUUUUCUAGGGUUAGGUCGCUUCUUAUGUCGUGCUAAUGGGCUAAGUGAUAAAACAUAAAAAAAACCCCAAUCUUUCUGACGUAUUCUCGCUCAAGCGAGAUACUCUUGUGGCGAAAUAGUCUUUUUCUGCAUCUCUUUGCAUUCUAGGACCUACCUUCUAGCUUUAUCUUUUUAGCUCAAAUUAUUCUCCUUUACUCCAAAUCUUCAAUCCUCCCUAAAAAUAUGCAAUUAACACCAAAUUUGGGAAUAAAAUUCUCUUAUUCAAAUAAAGAUCAUACAAAAUGUAUAAAUUCAUAAAUUAGAGAUUAUUCUAUAUGUAAAUUAGCAAUAAAUCCUCCUAAGUGCCUAAAUUUUAAUAUGAAAUAUUACUGAAAUUAGACACUUAUGAGUUGUGGUGGUGGUUUUUUUUGGCUAUAAUGCUUUCUUCUUGAAAAAUAUUAAUGGGAAGGAAAAAAAUGGUUAAGGAUUCUUCUAUAGUCUCUUUGUUUUUCUGUUCUCUUUCUCUCGUUGUUUCUUGUAGCUGCCUUUUCAAUCUCUAAUUUAAACAAUUGAGGAUUCUUCUAGCAGAAACAAUUUAAGCCAUAACAGUUCUUGGAGUUAAUCUUUAAAAGGUUUAAUUUGUAUUUUUUAGAAGUUCACAGUGUAUAAAAAAAUAAUUUUCUUUAAAAAUUAGAUUCAAAUUGGUUCUACAACAAUGUGCUUUGAUAAAAGACUUUACUUUUAAAUUGUAAAGCAAGAUUCAAAUCAGCUUUCAAUAACCGUCUAUUUAAACAAUAAAACACUUUAAAUCACAUUUUAAAAUCAAAUUUGAUAUGAUGAUGUUUAAAACCAGUUCCAAAACGAGAUUUCUUAUUGAUGGUUUGUUUUUAAGUAUGAACUUGUCAUCAAAGACACCAUCCAGUUUUUAAGUUUGAUUAAUUUCUUUAGUUGUUAGAAGUAAUGAAUACGAGAGAAGAAUAACACACAAUGAUUUAUACUAAUAUGAGAGAAGUAGUGUAUAUACUCUUACUUACGAUAAAGAAUUAUAAAAAUUAAAAGAAGUAAAACUUGACGAAAUUUGUACUUCCAUCAUUAUUUUUUCCUUUAUCACUUAUUUCUAUACUCUUUCUUUAACAACAUUGUAAUAUAGCGAUUUUUUAUAACAAAAUAUGAAAUAAUUUUAAAACGUGUGAAGAAAACGGUAUGGAUGAAUGGAUACGUUAUAUUGAUAAAUAAAUAAACCACAUGCGUUGGUUUUAAUCAAGACAAUAACUUGACAUAUACAUACGUAUCUCCAAAAUUUUAUUUACCCAAUUCUUACCAAAAAUAUUUUAAAAUAAUUAAUUUGUCGUCGUAUAAAUUCUCACUUCUAAUUGAAAAAUGUAUGAGCAUAUUUAUUUUCCAAUUUGUAACAAAAUUUACGAAUUUAUAUAUAAUUUUACAAUAAUUAUUUUUUAGUUUAUUAACAUGGCAUAAAAUUAAAGUUUUCGUUUUCUUUUAUUGACAUGUUGGUCGAAUAAGAGGUUUUUUUUAUUUUAUUUUAAUUUCUUUAAUUAUUUAAUUACCUAAAUUAUUUCAAUCAACACAACAAGUAAGAUAGGACGUUUAUAAAUAAUUAUCAGAAUAAUAUUUCAUUAAGUAAACUAAUUCUUAAUAUUUUAGAACAGUUACCAACAAGUAUCCACAGUUAAAAAAUAAAAAUAAAAAUAUAAAUUUAAUAUAUUAUAAAAAAAUAGAUUUGAAUAUUACACUUAUCAAAAUUACUUUCUAUUUUAGUUUCUAAUUUUUUUUAUAGACUCUUGAAUUAAAAAAUUAAAAAUAUUUUUUAUUCAUCCCAAUCUAAAAGUGAUAGUUUAGUCUUUUGAAAUUUAAAUACUAUUUUGAGUUAUCUAAUUUAUUAAUAAUUGACAAAUUCGUUAAUAAUUAUAGAUUCAAUUGAAAAAAAUAAAGAAUAAAAAAAACAAAGCAUCAAUGACAUAAACUCAUAAUAAUGAAUCCAGACACUGAAUUACAAAACAUUAUUUUAUUUAUAUGAAUUCGAUUGCACUUUCUUUAUAAUGAUAUUUCUUUUGAGUUUUAAUUAUCUAGAAAUUUUCCAAACAAUUAUAUGUGACAAAGCAUGAACAUGAAAUCAAUAACAGUAUAUAUGAAGUUGAAUGUGUAACGAUGUGACCAUUUUACACUAUCAAUCUAUUCCAUGUUUUUCCAUUACAAUUUGAUUUGUGUGCUUAAAGUGAUCAAUCAUGGAUGCAAAUAAUGAUGAAAUAGAAAUUAAUAUGCUCAUAAAAAAAUAAAGGCAACGUUGGUGUACCUAACAUGGUGGUGACGAACUACAUCAACUACAUUAGAACAGUUCUUUUAUGGGUGGUGUGUGUGCUGCCUUAUGUGAAUAAGGAAAAUUUUACGUAUAUAUUGUGGAGGUAGGAAAAGUUUUAUCUACCCCACGGGACGCCAAAUGUUCUAGCCAAGAGGGAUGUCUCCCUACUAAAGCGUACAAUUAAGCCAGAAACAAUGGUUUCUAGCCCUAAAGUGUUUGUCAGGUCAUCUUCUUUCCCUUAUAUAAGUUAGUGCUCUCCUCCCUUUUUGUAUCCCUUCUUGUUUUGAGUUAUAUUUUCAAAUUGAUUACAAUCACAUAUAUACGGUCGAUCUCCAUAAUCAACGCACUCUCCUCUUUAUGAAAAAUAAAUAAGAUCUUUUUCAUUAAUUUCAGAGAUAGACUAUUUCACCACAUCAUCGGUCUGAUAAGUUCAUAACCAUUAUUUACAUAGAUCGACACAAAAACCAUUUCACCAUGUGAUAACACUCGAUCCAUGAUCUCACAAUACCAAAUUAAAAGAAUUCUUAAUUUUUUUUGAAAAUAAAGCUAUUUUGAAAUUGUUGUUAAAUUAUUUCAUCUUAAUAUUUAGGUCUUAUUUUCAAAAUUUGAAUUCCAACACGAUUUAUCUAUUAAUAUAACGUGUCUUAAUUUUAAUUAUAUCUCUCUAUACUUUUUUAGUAAGUUUUAAAAGUCUUGUCAUGAUUUGUGCGUGUUAUCUUUACUCGGGGACUCUUUGUAUCUUUCCAAUGUUCUCAUAUGUCCCACAAGAGACAAAGUCUCUUUUCAAUUAUUUUAGCAAUAAUAGAAAACUUACUUAUUUUAAAAUACUAUUCAGUAUUAUUAGAGCAUUCUUAUUGGGGUAAGUCAGGUACUACUUUAAUGUUUAUGUACUGUUUGAAUAAAUGUCCCAUUGAAAAAUGUGAGCAUUUUUGUCCCAUUCUUAACUUUAUUGUUUGGUAGAAAUUUUUCGUCCGGAAGAGUAAUUAAGUGGUGCAGUUUCUACCUAACUCUCCGGCCACCUGUUUAAUGCUAAUACGUCGUCAUUCGUGCUCAUAUGUUGAUGCGAAAAGAUUUAUUUCACAUUAAAAACAUAUAUUUAACAUCACAUUAUUAUAAUAAUAUAAUCAGGUUUAAAAUUAAAAAAUAAAUUAAAUAUAUGUUUAAUAUGUCUCAGUUUUUUUUUUCAGAAAAUGUUUUUUAUGAAUGAUUUAAAAUGUUUUUUUUCUUAUUUUUAUAAUUAUAAUAUAAUCUUUUAGAAUAAAAAUUUAAUUUUUAAAAAAUUAAUAUGUUUUUUCUUUUAAAAAUUUUGUUAGAAUUCUAAUAAAAUUGUCAAAAAUUUUAAAAAUAUAUUUAAGAGACGUAUUUAACUUAGUUUGAUAAGUAAGAGAUUUGUGAAAGGUAUUAAUUAAAAGAGUGGUGAUAUAUUAACACUUUUAAUGAUAAAAACACAUUUUUUUUUAAAUAAAAGUUUUCAUGUUAGACAUCAUUAUGCAGUUUUUACACUUUUUAUACUAUAAUAAAUUAAUAUUUUAUUUAUUUUUAUUUUAUUUUUUAAUUUAAAAAUAUUAUUAUAAACAAUGUAAAUGUAUGUUUUUUUAUUCACUAUAAUAAAAUCAUGAAAUAGAAACCAAUUUGUAGAAAUCAAAAUAAUUAGUUGCAAUAGUAACUAAAAAGAAAUUUGGUUUCUAAAUUAGUUUCUAUUAUUGUUAAAUAGUUUCUAAAUUGGUAUCUAAUUAGCAACUAAGGUUUUUCUACCAAAUUUAGAAACUAAAUAAUUGGUAGUUAAAAUCUUAAUUGCUAAUUAAAUAUCAAUUUAAAAACUAUUUAAUAAUAAUAUAAAUUAAUUUGAAAAACUAAUUUUGUUUACUUUCUAAAUAUUUAAUGAUUUUCUGUCUGAACAAAACUUUUCUCUAAUUAAGAAGGAGUGAUACUUUAUAAUUUGUGUUUUAUAAAUAAUUACUUUACAAUUUUGCUAUAGUGAUAUAAUAUUUAAAGUUAUCUAAUUAAUUUAUACUUUUUACAUUUAUUAUAUUAUUAUAGUUGUAAAGUAUUAUAAAAUUAUCUUUAUGUUGAGUAAAAAAUAGAUGAUUUGAUAAGUAAUUAGAGAGAUCUUUAUAAAAGUGGAGUGAUUUUUGUCUAUUAUCACUAUGAAGUUUGUUAUUGACACGAUUUUUCCAAAUUUAGAAAAUAACUAUAUUUUAAUUAUGAGUGGCGGCAAAUAUUAACUCAUCUUUUCAAGAGAGAAAUGAUAUUUUAACUAUAAAAAAUGAUUUGAUUUGAUUGAUUUAAAUAUAAAUAUAUAUUAUAAUAAGAUUGUAUAAAAUAGUAGGGUUGUUAGAAACCUAAGAACAGUGUCAGAGAGUGACUCACAAGUUAGAGAUAUUAAAAUCCAAUUUGUGUAGCCUCAAGCAUGCAUCGCAUACACAAUCUUCUCUCUUGGGUAAAAUGGAUCUAAAUGUUUCUGCAAUUGGACUUGUUUCUCUACUUCUCUUCUGUUUCUUUUUCUUUGGUCUCUUCAAAUUUUCUCAAGGAAAAGAAGCUCCCACAGUUGCAGGUGCAUGGCCAAUACUUGGCCACCUUCCAUUGUUGAGUGCUUCAAAGAGACCCCAUAGAACUUUGGGUGCUUUGGCUGACAAAUAUGGACCCAUUUUCACCAUCAAACUUGGUGCCAAAAGCGCUUUGGUAAUCAACAACUGGGAAACGGCAAAGGAAUGUUUUACCACAAACGACAUAGUCGUUUCCUCUCGCCCCAAGCUUGUUGCUGCUGAACACAUGAGCUACAACCAAGCCAUGUUUGUGGUAGCACCCUAUGGUCCCUAUUGGCGAAAAAUAAGAAAGAUUACAGUUUCAGAGAUUCUCUCCCCUCUGCGAGUGAAGCAGCUGCGUCAUGUUUUUGAGUCAGAAGUUGAAGGUUCGAUCAAGGAGCUCUUUGACUUUUGGCGUAGCAACAAGAAUGAGAGCGGCUAUGCCUUGGUGGAGUUGAAGCAAUGGUUUUCUCAUCUGAUAUUCAACAUGGUCCUUCAAAUGAUUACAGGGAAGCGAUAUUUCAGUGCAGCAACUGUGGAUGAUGAGAAGGCACGGAGAUUUGUGAGGGCUAUGGAGGAGUUCAUGCGUCUGUUCGGGUUGUUCACAGUGGGAGAUGCUGUUCCAUGGUUGAGAUGGUUUGAUUUUGGAGGGCAUGAGAAGGCAAUGAAAGAAACUGCGAAAGAGUUGGAUAGUAUUAUAGGUGAGGAGUUAGAGGAACAUAGAAAAAGGAAGGGUUUGGGUGAGAAGGUUGAUGAAGCUAAAGAUUUCAUGGAUAUCAUGAUUUCAUUGUUUGAUGGAAGAACUAUUGAUGGGGUCGAUGCAGAUACCGUAAUCAAAUCCACCCUUCUGGUAUGUAUAUUCAUUACACACACAUUAUAAUCUUUUCAAAUUUCAACAAAAUUCAACAUACAUAUAAAACGAAUUAAUAUAUAUAUAUAUAUAUAUUUAUAUUGGUGUAUGUAAAUUUUUUCUUAAGAGAUAUUUAAAAAAAAAAAUAGUUUCUAUUAUUAAUAAAUAAUUUCUAAAUUGGUAUCUAAUGUUUUAAUUAUCAAUUAUUUAGAUUUUAAAUUUUGUAGAAAUAAUCUUGGUAGCUAAUUAGAUACCAAAAUAGAAACUAAUAACUUUUUUAGUCUCUAAACUAGUAUUUAAUUUACUCAAUAUAACACCUAGUUAUAUUUGGUAUCUAAAAUUGGUUUCUAUUUAAUGAUUUUCUUGUAGUGAUGGUUGUAUAGUUUAAUAUAUACCAUGAUUGUAAAGUCUAUCUAAAGAACGAGAAUGCCGGUUAGCCUAUCCUAUAUAGGUCUGUUCCAUAUAGAAAAUGAAUGUUGAUUUUAUUGGUUUGUCUUUAAUGCUGAUUGCUUCCCAAAUGUGCACAUAAGAAAUAUAUAUUUUAAAUUAUAAAAAAUAAAUUUUGAAUAUUUUUUUUAUUAAGUUAAUCUUUUAUUUAUUUAAAUGAAUUAGAUAAAUUGUCUCACAAUAUUAUUCUCAUGAUAAUGCCUAAUAAGAUAUAGGUAAAAAAUAAUAUUAUAAUUAUGUUUUGAUUUUCUAUAAAAUUAGAAUUUUAAGGCAAAUACAUUAUUACUAUUCUAAUUUGAAAAGUAAUAUAAAAUAAUAUAUAUAUAUAUAUAUAAUACAAUUUUUAAAUUUUAUUAUAAAAAAAGAGUAAGGUAUGCUAAUGCAUUUGACAUAUGAUGAUAUGCAUUUCAGAAAGACAAAAAAACACCAUUAAAUAUUAAAAAAUCAUUAUUGAAUUUUGUGAAGGUGCUAUGAAUUAGGGAUCCACUGUAGUUUCUUCAUGCACCACCUCCAUGUCUUUCUUCUUGCAUCCCAUAGUUCAUAAAAUAUUCAAAUUAUCCUUUGAUAUUUUUCAUUGAAUGUUUUUCUUUAAUUCUGAAAUGUGGCAUUUCAUCUAGAAGUUAAAAUUUGUGUUUGGGAUUGUACAUUAUUUCAGAUUGCACAAUCCAAAAUACAAAUUUGUAUACCAGAUUAUAGAAUUUGAAAUGAAUAAUUUUAGAAAUUUUGAGAAUAAGUGGCUGCAAAAAAAAUCAUGGGGGUAUAUAUAAAAAAAACUAAUUCUUAAAAAAUGUGGGUUAUACGGGUCAACGUGCCUUAUCCCACACUUUGCCGGUAUGUGCUACGGGUUAUGCGAGGCGGGUCAACAAGUUGAAAUAGCCAGUCUACCCUGUAUUUCUUUUAGCGGGCCAAGGACUGGUCUACACGACCCACUCCGUUUUGCCAUCCAUAAUUUAAGUAACUAGUUACUAAAUAUAAAGUAUUAUAAUUAUGUGAAAUAUAUAUAAUAAAUAAUUUAUUUACGUAAAUUACACUAUAGUAAUUUUAAAUUUGAUUAGAGUAAACACUUGUAAAAUAUUCUUCUAUCAUGUCUAUUGGCAAUUUUUUCAAGUAAAUGUAUCCACAAACACUUACAAAAGAAAUAAAUAAGAAGAAGAAAUUAAAUAAAUUUUUUACAAACUAAAAUUAGUAUAUAUGAAUUAAAAAAAUAUUUUACAUAGAUUUAUUUUAAUAUAUGAUUUGUUUCCCUUAUAGAAGAACUUGUGAAUGACCAUAUUCUUAAUUUUCUUAAUUUGCAGGCAGUGAUUGCAGGAGGAACUGACACAAGUAAUAUUGUUCUUACGUGGGAAAUAUCUUUGAUUUUGAGGAAUCCUUUGGUAUUGGAAAAAGUAAAAGUGGAACUAGACAUUCAUAUUGGAAAAGAGAAAUGCGUAAGUGAGUUUGAUAUAAGUAAGUUAACAUAUCUUCAAGCCAUAGUCAAGGAAACUUUAAGAUUGUAUCCUCCUGCUCCUCUUUCGACGCCUCGUGAAUUCAUAGAGGACUGCACUUUAAGUGGUUAUAAUAUAAAAAAAGGAACUCGUCUAAUCACAAAUCUUUGGAAGAUUCACACAGAUAGUAAUGUUUGGGAAGAUUCAUUGGAGUUCAAACCAGAAAGAUUUCUUACAACUCAUAAAGAUAUUGACGUCAAAGGUCAUCAUUUUGAGUUAUUACCAUUUGGAGGUGGCAGAAGAAUGUGUCCAGGAAUAUCCUUUGGCAUUGAAGUAGUGCAUUUCUCUCUUGCUAGUUUUUUGCAUUCUUUUGAAAUUUUAAGCUCAUCACCUAAUCCUAUUGACAUGACUGAAAACUUUGGAUUAACCAACACCAAAGCCACUCCACUUGAGAUUCUUAUUAAACCACGUCUAUCUUUUAGUUGUUAUGAAAACAACUAAUCCAUGUGUUAGUUAUGCAGUCACAGUUUGUUUUCAUUCAAAGUACUUUUUUUCUAUAAUAUCGUUAAAGUCUUUGCUAUCUUUGUAUUUUCAUUCAAAGUGCUUGAUAUAUUUGCACUUUCGUUCAAUGUACUUGAUAUAUUUAUAGUUUAUCUUUGUAAACUUUGAAACUCUUUCAAAUAUAUCAUUAAUGAAAAGUAUAAUUACAUUGUAUAUUCUCGCUACAUUUACUCUUUUAUACUUAUUCCUUCUUUAUUGAUAUUUUCUUUAUAUUUUCCAAGUCCCUCUUAGUGAAUUCUCAGUGGUUAGCUGAGGACUGAGUGUAGCUCUAGGUUAAGAGUGAAUCAAUAUAAACUUCUUGUGUGAAUCUCUCUAUCCUUACACCCUUUAAACUGUUUUAGCUUUGAUUUUAUAACCUAAUGGUUAAACAACCGGUUGUUUCGCAAAAACAAAUGGUUGAUUUUCUGGAAUCAAACUAAAAACAGUUUUAUAAUUAGAUGAACAAUUUUCUAAUUGAUUGAUUCUUCACUAUGUCUUUCACUCUACCUUCAAUACUAGCGAAAAUCUUUCAAAAACAAUUCACCCCCCUCUUAUUUAAGGCUUAUAAUUCUAACAUCGUCUUCCCAUUAAUGUUAAGAAGUGUACCAAUUAAACUAUCACACACAUUCUUCUUUGCAUUAAAUCAAUACAAUGUCUGAAUUCUAACUUCGACCAAUAUGAAAGAUCAAAGAAGAUUGAUUUUUUCUUCCAUAUGUUUGUCACAAAUGACUUCUUUCUUGACUUCUGAAGGUGUGUCCUAUGUUAUUUACCUUUUCAUAAACCUCAACACUAGUUAAUGGAGUUGGUAGACUGACAGUCUUUUGAUGUCCAUUAAAGACUUUUUUCAACCUCCGGUAAGGAUGGUGACUUCUAAGAAACCUCCACUGCCAAAGAUAUACUAUCUUCCUUUCAUGUUUCAAUUGCUGAAAAGCAGUGUCUUCUUCACAUAUUGGACAUGCUUUUUGACCCUUGACACUACACCCUGAUAAGUUAUUGUAUGCCAAAAAGUUAUUUAUUGUGCAAAAGAACAUGGCAAGCAUCUUGAAAGUUUCAUUAACAAACCAGUCAAAGUGUCAUUAGCAACAUGGCUUACAGUGAAAAUACCGAGGGGUUGUAAAACAUCCUUCAUAGCUUUAAUUCCUACAGUUUCUGACCUAACUAAGUUGCGAUAAUAUAAACUGAUUUCUCUAGUUGGGAUUUUCUAUAAAAUCAUAUCCAAAGUGUUGGCUAACAGAAUUAAGAAAGUCAUGCCUAACAUUAAGAUGAAUCUCAAUCCACAUUCUUGUGGGGGAGAAGGCUUUUGGAUAUCAUUUUAGUGACCAAUGAGGUCGUGGAGGAUAUUAGGAGUCAUGGUAAGAGUGGGGCUAUUGUCAAGGUGGAUUUUGAUAAAACAUAUGACUCGAUGAUGUGACAAUUCAUGUUUUAUAUGAUGAAGAAACUAGGCUUUAGGGAGAAGUGGAUUAGGUGGAUCAAGUGUUGUUUGGUUUCUUCCUCAGUUUCUAUUUUAGUUAAUGGUAGCCCAACUUCUGAGUUCAACCCAUCUAGAGGGUUAAGGCAAGGGGACCCCUUGGUCCCUUUCCAACUCCUUAUCGUUGUCACUACUAGAAAAUCAUUAAAUAUAAACUAAUUUUAGAGAAAAAAAUAAUUAGUUAUUAUAUUGACUAAAUUAGAUAUUAUUUUAGAGACUAAAAAAAAUAUUGGUAUCACUAUGAAACUUGACAUCUAAGUUAGGAUGACACCUCAAGUAACAACAAUCAUCAUCCACCACAUGAAAAAAAUAUCAUUAAAAAAAGGAAAAAAGAAAGAAAGAAAGGAAAUACAAGCCAUAUGAGGAGACUAGACCAAAACCCAUAUACAAAAAUCCUAAGAAAAGUGAUACUUAGGUAAUAUAUCCCUACUAAUAAAGAAUUCUAAGAAAAAACUAGAUGGAAGCCUAUUAACCAAUUAAAUUAUUCUAUAUGAAUAAACCCUAAGUUAGCAAGCUUAUCAGCACAUUCCUUUCCUUAAAAAAAAAAAAAGUGAGAAAUCCCACAUCUGAUUUUCCCAUAGAAAUGAAGGCAAGUGUUCCACCUAUUAUGAAGAAUCCAAGGAACCUUAGUCAUAGUAGUAAAUGCAGCACAAACCAAGGUAGAAUCACAUUCAAGUCAUAAACUAGUAAGACCCAUCUUUUUAGUUUCAUAAAAGGCCUAUAUAACUCCCUAAAACUCAACAACCAAAGUAAUCUAAAAAUCAAGGAAAGCAGAGAAACCACCAAUAAAAUACCACCACAAGCGGCAAAACCAGGAUAACCCCUAGUAACACUAUCAUUAUUAAUUUUAACCCAACCUAGUGAAGGAAACUCUCAUCUAAUAGGAGGAGGAUGAAGAACUUUAUCAUUACGAGUACUAAUAUCAAAGAACUUAAGCACAUUGAAAUCAAACAUAUCAUUCCUUAUAGAACUUUUAGACGAAUUACACAUUAGGUAAGUAAAAUCCUUAAUGGUGGAAAUGGUCCUGAAAAGAUCAAUCUUAACCUGAAAUCUAACAUAAUUUCUCAUACGUCAUAUUAUCCUAGAGAAGGUAAUCACAACAAGUUUAAUCAAAUUAAACAAAUGACUACCAUCGCUCUUAAUAAAAUAAAGGAGAUCACUCACAUUAGAAAAAUGGAAUUAAGAAUAGUCUUUUAAGAUACCUAUAUUUGUUAUAAUUAAAUAUCCAAUUAUUAUUUCUAAAAUUAAAUUAAUUUUAUUACUAAAAAUUAAAUUUUAAAAAUGCAUAUUUGACUUGUAUUUAAAUUUAUUUUUUAUUUUUAAAGUGGACUAAAAUCUUUAGCUCUACCUAGGAGUAGAUCAAACAAAAAAAAUAUAUAAUUUUGAUUAGAAAAAAAUGAAAGUGACCUAAACUGGAUCUUUCAUAAGUAUUCCAUAUAAAUAAACUGAUCUGAUCGACCAACCCAGAAUUAAAAUCCAAUGUCGAUCAUGGAAUGAACCAGAAACACUUUCUAACUCACCCUACUUUUUCCAUCUGUUUUUAGGUUGAAGAUAAACGUGUUGCACUUGAUGAUCUAUAUACUGUCAUCUUCAGCACCUACCCAAUUAAUAAUUUCUACUUCCAACAAAUUUACUGGUUCACAUUUGUCGCUAUUGUUGUAUACAAAUUAUUAUAUGCUUAUUAGUCUGACAUUUUUCUUUUCUAAAUUUGCAAUUAAUAUUACUAUAAGAACAGAAGAAAUUUCACCACAGUGUCAAAUAUAUUUAUCAAUACCAGUUCAAAUAACAUCAGUAAACUUACCUAUGUUAGUACAAUUCCUAUAUAUAUAUAUGCACACUGGCUAAUGAACAAAAUGUGUAUCUUAAUGGAGUUCGUUUUGGAUUACCUUAAUGGCAGUGCCAUUGGUCUUCUUUCUCUAAUCCUCUUGUAUAUGUUUCUCUAUAAUCCCUUCAAAUUUUGUAAGGGAAAGAAGAAAGAGGCUCCCACAGUUGCAGGAGCAUGGCCAAUACUUGGUCACCUUCCACUGUUGAGUGGUUCAAAGACACCCCAUAGAACUUUGGGUGCUUUGGCUGACAAAUAUGGACCCAUUUUCACCAUCCAACUUGGUUCCAAAAAGGCUUUGAUAAUCAACAACUGGGAAAUAGCAAAGGAAUGCUUCACCACAAUCGACAUGGUUGUUUCUUCUCGCCCCAAGAUUCUCGCCUCUGAACUCAUGGGCUACAACCAUGCCAUGUUUGGCUUUGCACCCUAUGGUCCCUAUUGGCGCGAGCUUCGAAAGAUUACAACGUUAGAAAUCCUUUCCCCUCGUCCAGUGGAACAACUGCAGCAUGUUCGUGUCUCAGAACUUCAAAACUGGAUCAAAGAGUUGUAUGAUGUUUGGUGUAGCCAAAAGAGUGAGUCUGGCUAUGCCUUGGUGGAGCUGAAGCAAUGGUUUUCUCACCUCGCAUUCAACAUGGUUCUUCGAAUGGUCGUUGGGAAGAGACACUUUGGUGGUGAAAACUUAGAAGAUGAGAAAGCACAGAGAUAUGUGAGGGCUGUGGAGGAGUUCAUGCGCCUGUUCGGAGUGUUCACAGUGGGAGAUGCUGUUCCAUGGUUGAGAUGGUUUGAUUUUGGAGGGCAUGAGAAGGCAAUGAAAGAAACUGCGAAAGAGUUGGAUAGUAUUAUAGGUGAGGAGUUAGAGGAACAUAGAAAAAGGAAGGGUUUGGGUGAGAAGGUUGAUGAAGCUCAAGAUUUCAUGGAUGUAAUGAUUUCAUUGUUUGAUGGAACAACUAUUGAAGGGAUCGAUGCAGAUACCAUGAUCAAAUCCACCCUACUGGUAUGAAUGUUUAAUUUACACGUUAUAAUACUUUCUGAAAUGUGAAAUUUUAAGAAAAUUAAACUUAUAAUAAGAAAAAUAUACAUUGACAUUAUAGAACUCAUGAAGUAUUCCGUAGAAAAUAAGUAAAAUUAAAUAUCUUUUCUUGUAAAUUAAAAUUAAGUAUAACCUAAGUUAUUUUUAGUAAUAAGUUUUUCAAAUAUAAUCUUAAUUCAUUACAUGAAAAAUAUUAAAUAAAAACUAAUUUUAAAUACCAAAAUAAUUAGUUAAUAUUUGAUAUAAUUAAAGAUCAUUUUAUAAAUUAAAAAAAAUUAUUGAUAUCUAAAUUAUUUUUUUUUAUUAAUAAAAAAUUAUAAAAUAAUUUUUAAAUUGGUAUCUAACCAUUAACUACCAAGGUUUUAGCUACUUACUACUUUAUAUUCUAAAUUAGUCUCUAUUAGUCUUUUAGAGACUAGUUUAUAAUAUAAAAUAUUAGUAACUAAAACCUAAAUAACUAAUUUAGAUAUCAAUUUAGAAACUAUUUUAUAAAUUUUUAUUAAUAAUAUAAAUUAUCUUAGAUACCAAUAAUUUCUUAGUCUCUAAAUAAAUAUCUAAUUUAGUCAAAAUAGUGACUAAUUAUUUUUUAUCUUUAAAUUGGGUUGCUAUUUAAUGAUUUUUUCUAGUGAUUUUCUUCACUUAAAUAUUUUUGUUGGGUAACUUAUUUGUUUUGUAGGCAGUGAUUGUAGGAGGAAUUGACACAAACAAUACAAUUCUUACAUGGACAAUAUCUUUGAUUUUAAGGAAUCCUUUGGUGUUGGAAAACGUAAAAGAUGAACUAGACACUCAUAUUGGAAAAGAGAAAUGCGUAAAUGAGUAUGAUAUAAGUAAGUUAACAUAUCUUCAAGCCAUAGUCAAAGAAACUUUAAGAUUGUAUCCUCCUACUCCUCUUUUUGGACCUCGUGAAUUCACAGAGAAUUGCACUUUAAGAGGCUAUAAUAUAAAAAAGGGAACCCGACUAAUCCCAAAUCUUUGGAAGAUUCACACAGAUAGUAAUGUUUGGGAAGACCCUUUGGAGUUCAAACCAGAAAGGUUUCUUACAACUCGUAAAGAUAUCGACGUCAAAGGUCAUCAUUUUGAACUAUUACCAUUUGGAGGUGGUAGAAGAAUAUGUCCAGCAGUAUCCUUUGGCCUUCAAAUGGUGCAUUUCACUCUUGCUAGGUUUUUGCAUUCCUUUGAAAUUUUAAGUUCAUCACCUGAUCCUAUUGACAUGUCUGAAACAUGUGGAUUAACCAACACUAAAGCCACUCCACUCGAUAUUCUUAUUAAACCACGUCUAUCUCUUAGUUGUUAUGAAAACAACCAUUCCUUGUCUUAGCUACAUGAUUACAUUGUAUUUUUGUUCAAAGUACUUUUUUGUUCCUACUAAAUAGUUCAAAGUAUUAUAGUUCCUCUAUUAUAUAUUUGUAUUUUUGUUCAAAAUUACUUGUAAUAUUGGUAGUUUAUCUUUGUAAAUUUUGUAACUCUUUCAACUAUAUAAUUGAUGAAAGUAUGAUUACAAUUUAUAUUCUCACCAUUUUAACUUUUUUUAUUCCUUCUUUAUUGAUAUUUUCUUUAUAUUUUUCAAGUCACUCUUAUUGUUGUCUUGUUAAAAUUGAAGUUUGUAUUUUUACCUAUUUAUGUUUAAUUCAUUUUCAUGUACUAGAUACUACAAUGAUAAUUUGCUUAUUUGGCUUUAUUUCAAACAUCAAUGUUUAUCGACUCAAGACAUCAUAUAUGUCACUUCAGGGGUGAUCCAACCCAUAUUCAAAAGACUAACACAACCCUACAACACCACAUAUUCCAGACAGUUACACGCUUAACUCGGCCCAACAUCAACCGCAUACAAACUAAAACGAAAAAAGGCAAAUCAGAUGAUCAAGACACCCAUCAGAAUAAGAGAAACAAGCAACGGGAUUUAGAAGUAAUCCAAGACCAAACCUUCAAUUGAGCCAAAGAGAAGAUCUCCGAGUAAUCCAACACUCCACCUUUAAAAAUAAUCUUAUUCCUGUGACACCAAAUCUUACUAACCACCACAAGCCAAAUACUCUUCAGCCCUAAGUUGUCCGACUCAGGAGCAUUACACAACUUGAACUGCUAAAAUUGAGAGGAGUUAAGGGGGACAACUGACGAAAUGCCUAACCACACGUAACAAAGAUUCCAAACCAACCAUACUAUUCUACAGUAAAAAAAAUAGAUGAUUUAACUCCUCCUCUUUUAACCCGCAAAAGCAACAGGGAACGCUUCUGAGCUUUAUCCCUCAUCUAAAUAAAUUAACCUUAGUGGCAAUCUUAUUGUCCAACACUCUCCUAGCGGUAACAUGAGCUGAAGGCAUAGCCUUAAUCCUCCAAAAUAUUUUGAACAUCUUCGUACAAUCCCCCUUAGAAUCCCCUCUUAGAAUCCCAUAAGCCGAUUUCACUGAGAACUCUUGGAACUUACCGUCUUUCCAAACCCACCUAUCAACUUUUUCCAAGAUAGGACACAAGACAUGCACUACCUCUAGAAGUUGUCUAACCUGAUCCUCCUCCCAAUCAAAAAGACUUCUCCACCACGCCCAAAGGCCACUCCUAAACAUUGUUUGUCCAAAACCCACAAUGCUCCAGCAACACAUCUUUAUCGACACAAAGAGAAAAAAGCCUUGGAAACUUAUUCUUCAAGAUAUCAUUACCUACCCACUGAUCCUCCCAUAAUUUGAUACUCUUCCCAAUACCAAGUUCCCACUUAAAUUUGUCAUCGAAAUUACUUUCCCAUUUCUCCAGCUUCCAAAUCUUCUUCAAAUCUUUCCACCAAAAGGAAACAUUAUUGUUUGAGCUGUCCUCUUUCAGCUUUCUCCAGCCUUCAACCUCCUUCCACAAAUCUCCCUCAAAUCCCAACCACCAAAUUCAUUUACCCAACAAAAUCAAUUUAAAAUCCUUAAUAUUAACUACUCCAAACCCGUCGCUUCACUUAAUUUAUUUUCAUUUACUCAAUGCCACGAUCAUAAUUUGGAUACAAUACUGUUCCAAACAUUAAACUCUACUCGUUUACUCAAAACAUUACACAUCUCAACCUUAUAUUGUUGUAUUUUAUCAAUAAUUUAAAUUAUUACCUUAUACAAUUUUUCAAAUUCAUCAACCAAUAAAAAAUAUUGUAUUAUAUUUGGAUCACCUCCUUUAUUAACCAUUCAAAAUUAAAUUAUUUAUUUAAAAAUCUAAUACAAGAAAAUCAUUAAAUAGAAACCAAUUUUAAAAACAAAAAAAUAUAUUGACUAAAUUAGAAAAAAAAUUACAUACUAAAAAUAUUAUUGGUUUCUAAAUUAGUUUCUAUUAUUGAUAAAUAGUUUUUAAAUUGUUAUCUAAUUAGCUACCAAGUUUUUAAGUACCAAUUAUUUAUAUUUUAAAUUUGAUAGUAAACAUCUUGGUAGCUAAUUAAAUAUCAAUUUAAUAAUUAUUUAUCAAUAAUAGAAACUAAUUUAAAAAUCAAUAAUUGUUUUAGUCUCUAAAAUGUUCACUAAUUUAGUCAAUAUAGUAACUAAUUAUUUUUGUCAAAAAAAUUGAUUUCUAUUUAAUAAUUUUUUUUAGUGAUCGUUUAUCGUAUUUAUUUAAAUUUCAUUUCAAUCUUUUUUGAAUGAUCUAUUUAACAGCUGAAACAUUGUAAGUGAUUCUAAUAGUCUCAACCAUAUUCAUAUUAAAUUAUGUUUGUCUCCGAAAGUUAGCCAUUCUUGUAUUCUGUUACCUACACCAACAUGGUGCGUAUUAUUCAAUAAUAAACCAAAUAAUAUAUUUUUAAAAAUUUGGUGCAUAUAAAAGCCGUGUGUUACAAUUUUAUUAGUAUUAUAGACACUCAAGUAUUUUUUUAAAAAAAUUAUUAAUAGAUAUAGACUAUCUAUAUAUUUUUUUUUGUUAAUAUUCAAGGAUGCAGGUAGCUCUAUUAUGUGUCUCAUGCAGUUGUUUUUUUGUGAGGUUUAGGAUAGUGUUAUUUAUCGUAAGCUUUUUUCUGGUUCUGUAUACGGGUUGGGAUACUCUGAAGUAUCUCCUAAUUUAUUUUAAUUUUUUGGUGAUAAAAAAAAUAUGGAUUUUAGUUUAAUUCUUUAUAUUUAAAAAAAAUAUUAAUAGAUAUAAACUAUCUAUAUAUAUUUUUGUUAAUAUAUGAGUUUUAGUCUAAUUCUCUAUAUUUAUUUGUAUUUUAUUUUAUUUUUUUAAUAAUUUUUUUAUUUAAUGACAUAUUAUUGUUAUUAUUUAAAAUAUGAUGAAAUGUCAAGUUUCAUACAUAUGUUAAACAUAAGAUUUUUUUUAAAAAAAAAACUGUUAGUUGUAUGAAUAAAGAAAAUGAAUUCGGUAUGUAUAUUGUUUGAUAGUAAUCUAUGGGAGCCGCAAUAUCAACUAUUAAAAUAUCGUUUUGGUUUGAUUUAAUAUUUCAACAUUUUAAAGUUUUACAUGUAACAUAGUUUAAUCUUUUACUUAUUUUACUGAGUAUUUUCAAGAAAAGAAAUGUAGUUAACAAUAUAUUUUUAGAAAUCAAAUUGAUACAGGUUCAUCUUUCAAGAUCUACUAUAUAUCAAAGAUAAAAUUACUAAAACAAUAUAAAAUAUUCUAUGUUUAUAAUUUUUUAUUAAAAAUAAAUAAAUUUGGAUUUUUUUUUAAAUGUUUACGGUUUACCUGUAAUUUUAUGGAGUGUUUUGUCCAAUUCAAUGAUAAGGAUCUCCUUUAUCCUUUUAUUUAUAGUCACCUUAUUUAUUUCAAACCUUAUCUUCAAAAAUUGAGGACAAAAUUUAGCAGUGCACCUUUAUCUGUACUGUUGAAUUUUUUGGUCAUUGAAGAUAACACAUCAAACUCAACUCCUUCACACAUUGUUGCAUAUGAUUAGAAGCCAAAUUAAUCACGGCUUUGUGUGAAGCUUUUGUUAUUUUCAAUGCGAUCAAACAGAAAAAGACGUGUUCUGAUGGAUUAUUUUAAAUCAACAUUUCGAUAUUUUACAUGGUUAGGGUUCUUAUUAUUUGUAGUCUUGAAUUUUUUUUACGGGGUAGUUCAACCUGUAUACAAAAAUUACCUUACCAAAUUUUUAACAAGAAACAUCUACAAAGAAAUAAAAAAAAAAAAACAUAAAUGAAUCAUCCUCAUGCAUAUCAAAGAAUUCAGAACCCAGUUAGAGUAAGAAAAGAAAGCGCAACUGGACUUUGCAAAAAUUCAAGACCAAACAUUUCUUGCAUCAAAACAAACAUUUCUACCGCAUCUAUCACACCCCUAUUAAAAAUGACGGUCUAUAGUAUAAUUAGAUAGUCUCUUAUGAUCUUAUUUAUUAGGUGUUUAUGUUAGGUUUCAAUACGAUUUUAUUUAUCCAAUUUGAAUAAAUACUAAACCUAUUGCUAUUAAUUUACCAAAUGGUCAUCAAACUAUUGCUUCUCAAACUAGAACUAUGAAAUGCAUAGUUCCAAAAGUCGUGUUCAUGUAGAAACAACAACUCCUUCCAUUUUUUUCCACACCCGUUUAGGAAGGUUUUGGAUUUAUAUGAAAAAGUUUCAAAUAUAUAGCUUUUUUAUUUUGUCUCCAUGGAGAGAAAGUGAGACUCACCACAGCAACGAAUUCUGAAACGUAGUUAUCAAAAAGUUUUCAAUGAACUCAAAACAGGAGCACAAGGUUGCAAGAUUUAGGGUACAUUCAAGAAAGAUUUCCACAUUAUUUAUUAAAAAAAUUAUUGAUUUUUUUAAAAGUUCUUUAAUUUAUUAAAAAGUUUAUUUUAAAUCAUGUUGUAGAUCUCACAUCGACUAAAAAUUAGGACAUUUCAUUAUAUAUAAGUGGGUGUAACCUCACCUCAUAAGCCGAUUUUAAGAGGUUGAGUUAAGCUUAAAGUCCACUUCGUAAUAUGGUAUCAGAGUCAUUUUGAGCUUAUCCUAACUAGUGUUUGUUGGGCUUAUCAGGGCACCCGCUAUCGGACCGUUAUCGGAUCACCCAUAAUAUGUUAUCCCGCACACGACCUGUCACUCUCGGCGUGAGAGAGGUGUGUUGAAGAUUUCACAUCGAUUAGAGAUUAGGAUAUUUCAUUGUAUAUAAAUGGAUGCAAACCUCACCAUGAGCCGGUUUUAUGGAGUUGAGUUAGACUAAAAAUCCACUUCGUAAUAAAUCGAGUUCUCCAUAAGCUACCGAAUUUGGAUUUUGAAUAUAAAAAAAAAUAAUUAGAAUAAAAGGUUUACUUUGACAGAAACUAAUUAUUAAUUAAUGAGUAUAUACUUCAUAUAUUUGUCAUGAGAAGAAACUUAUAUACUAAGCACCUAAUUACUUGACUGAAGGCUAAAGCUAGAAGAUUCAACACAAGACCCCUUAACCUUCCCACUUUUAUAAUUUAAUUAUUAAUAUCAGUUGCAUUCUUAAGCUUGGAGAAGACAACCAAUAUCAAGCUAUUAAGGUCUCUUUUAUGUUCAUAUAUAAUACAAAUUCUGAUUUUGAAAAGUUCUCCAUGUGAGCAAGUGGAGAAGUGUGGCCAAGUUUCUAAGAAGUCUUUAUAAGACUUUCACAUCAUCACUUACAAUAAUCAAAUAACGUAAUAAUUCUCUAUUAUCCAAACCCUUUUCAAUAAAAAAUAUUUAUUUAUCAAUUUAUAUUAAUUAUAAUAUCAUUUUAUAUUAAUUAUAAAAAAAUAUAUUCUUUUAUUACGUGACUACAAUUAAACAAAUUAACAAGAUAAAUAAAAAUCAUGUCAAAAAAUUAAACGAAAAGAAACUAAUUUCUAAAUUUAUAAAUUUUGAAUAUUCAAUAAAUAAUUAAUAGAAAUAAUUAAAAAUAUUCAAAUUUCUAAAAUACUUAAAAGAUAAUUACAUUUAUUUGAAAAAUUCUUCCUCUCUCAGUACACGUGUUUUGAAAAAAAUCCAACUUAUUUUAGUUUCUUGUAUAAACUUAUCUGGCAUCUUUGGUUGAGUUCACGACAUCCAUUAACUUUUCACAUCAAACAAAAAGAUUUAUGGAAAAGAUUUUUUGAGACCAUAUGCACUGAAAACAUGAACUUCACAUCAUAUUAUAAUAAUACAAUAAUAUUUUAAAUUAAAAAAUAAAAUAAAAUAUAAUUAGAAUACUAUUUUAUUAAUUUAUGAAGUAUAUAUAUUUAAUAUUAUUUGUUGUACCACCCAUAAUCUAUUUAAGAAUACCACUAGCAUUGGACUUGACAAAGCUCAAAUGGAUUUUGUUCUACACUACUUGAAUACCACUACCAUUGCACUUCUUUCUCUAAUCAUCUUCUGUUUAUUCUUCUAUAAUCCCUUCAAAAAAUUUCAAUCCAAAGAGGCUCCCACAGUUGCAGGAGCAUGGCCAAUACUUGGUCACCUUCCACUGUUGAGUGGUUCAAAGACACCCCAUAGAACUUUGGGUGCUUUGGCUGACAAAUAUGGACCCAUUUUCACCAUCAAAAUUGGUUCCAAAAAGGCUCUGAUAAUCAACAACUGGGAAAUAGCAAAGGAAUGCUUCACCACAAUCGACAUGGUUGUUUCUUCUCGCCCCAAGCUUCUCGCCUCUGAACUCAUGGGCUACAACCAUGCCAUGUUUGGCUUUGCACCCUAUGGUCCCUAUUGGCGCGAGCUACGAAAGAUUACAACGUUAGAAAUCCUUACUACUCGUCGAGUGGAACAGCUGCAGCAUGUUCGUGUCUCGGAACUUCAAAACUGGAUCAAACAGUUGUAUAAUGUUUGGUGCAGCCAAAAGAGUGAAUCUGGCUAUGCCUUGGUGGAGCUGAAGCAAUGGUUUUCUCACCUCUCAUUCAACAUGGUUCUUCAAAUGGUCGUUGGGAAGAGAUAUUUUGGUGGUGAAAACUUGGAAGAUGAGAAGGCACAGAGAUGUGUGAGGGCUAUGAGGGAGUUCAUGCGUCUGUUUGGGGUGUUCACAGUGGGAGAGUUUGUUCCAUGGUUGAGAUGGUUUGAUUUUGGAGGCCAUGAGAAGGCAAUGAAAGCAACUGCAAAAGAGUUGGAUAGUAUUAUAGGUGAGGAGUUAGAGGAACAUAGAAAAAGGAAGGGUUUGGGUGAGAAGGUUGAUGAAGCUAAAGAUUUCAUGGAUGUAAUGAUUUCAUUGCUUGAUGGAACAACUAUUGAAGGGAUCGAUGCAGAUACCAUGAUCAAAUCCACCGUGCUGGUACGUAUGUUUAAUUCACACGUUAUAAUGCUUUGGAAAUGUGAAACUUCAACAAAACUAAACAUAUAAAUACAACAUAAUUCUUCAUUAAAUUUGGUAUUUAGUGUUGAAACACUUGUUGUAGGGGAGAUGAGGAUUAUGGGUAGAAUUAUAUAUAUGGAUGAGGUCUAUGACUGUCUUAUUAUGUUCUAUAGACUCUAUAGGGAGUGGGAACCUUUUGAAUUUUUAUUGGUAUUCUUAAUGUAUUCCUUUUAAUUCAUUUUAUUCAUCAUUGAUAAAAUAAAUUAAAUUUGAAAUAUUUCCUCAGAAACUUACCUUAAAAACAUUACAAAACCCUAAACCAACUUCUCUUACAGAAGUACAGUUUUUUUUUUUUUGGCACAAGAAGUCUAAUUUCUUUCACUUAUUCUUUACACAAGUGUGUUUUAUCGUCUUUACCGUUUAUAUGGGGUUCAUUUGAUAGACAUGAGUGUUUUUUUGGGAGAGUGAGGGAUAUAGUGAUGUUGUGAUUGGGAGAGAAAGGGACAUUUGUGGUGUUGCGUGAAUGAAAAUCCAUGGACCACUUACAAUUUUUUUUUCUGUUUUUCUACUUUGAUUUGGUUUUUGUGAAAAAUAAUGAAAUUUUGAAAAAAAAAACUUGUAAGUUAUACAUCAUUAGUUUAGAAAUUGUUUACUUUUUCGAUGGUGGAAAUUUAUAAUGAUUAUAGAACUCAAGCAAGUAAUCCCUAGAAAAUAAAUUAAAUUAAAUAACUUUUUCUUGUAAAUUAAAAUUAAUUUUAACCUAAAUUGUUUUUAAUAAUACGUUUUCUGAACCUGAUCUUAAUUUUCUUCACUUAAAUAUUUCUCUUGGGUCACUUAUUUGAUUUGCAGGCAGUGAUAUCAGGAGGAACUGACACAACUAAUACAGUUCUUACGUGGGCAUUAUCUUUGAUUUUAAGAAAUCCUUCUGUGCUAGAAAAAGUAAAAGAGGAACUAGACAUUCAUAUUGGAAAAGAAAAAUGCGUAAGUGAGUCCGAUAUAAGUAAGUUAAUAUAUGUUCAAGCUAUAGUCAAAGAAACUUUAAGAUUGUAUCCUCCUGCUCCUACUUCGGGACCUCGUGAAUUCACAGAGAAUUGCACUUUAAGAGGUUAUAAUAUAAAAAAGGGAACCCGACUAAUCAUAAAUCUUUGGAAGAUUCAUACAGAUAGUAAUGUUUGGGAAGAUCCUUUAGAGUUCAAACCAGAAAGGUUUCUUACAACUCAUAAAGAUACUGACAUCAAAGGCCAUCAUUUCGAGUUAUUACCAUUUGGGGGUGGUAGAAGAAUUUGUCCAGGAGUAUCCUUUGGCCUUCAAAUGGUGCAUUUCAUUCUUGCUAGUCUUUUGCAUUCUUUUGAAAUUAUAAGUUCAUCACCAAAUCCUAUUGAUAUGACUGAAAUCUUUGGAUUAACCAACACCAAAGCCACUCCACUUAAUAUUCUUAUUAAACCACGCCUAUCUCUUAAUUGUUAUGAAAACAACUAAGCCUUUUAUUAGCUACGUGAUUACAUUGUAUUUUUGUUUCUACUAAAUAAUUCAAAGUACUUGCUAUGUUUGUAGUUCCUCAAAUUGUAUAUUUGUAUUUUCGUUUAUCAGUACUUGUAACAUUUGUAGUUUACUUUUGUAAAUUUUGUAACUCUUUUAAAUAUAUAAUUGAUAAAAGUAUAAUUACAGCGUAUAUUCUCACCAUUUUAACUUUUUUAUUCUUUAUUGAUUUUUUUUUUCUUAUCAUUCUUAUUGUUGCGUUGUUAAAAUUUAAGUUUGUAUUUUUGACUAUUUUUGUUUAGUUCAUUUUCAUAUACUAGAAAUAACGAUGAUAAUUUGCUUAUUUUCUUUUUUUCAAACAUCAAUGUUUAUCGACUCAAGAAAUCAUAUAUACCAAAUUUAUAUUAUUUUAGUUUUGAACAAAUCAACUUACUAUCUACUUAAUUUUUCAAUUUUUUCAACCAAUCAAAUUAGUUCAUCUUCAACUUAAUUAAUCCUACCUCGUUAUCAAUAUCUAAAAAUAAGAAUUUUCAUCAUCUUAAUAUCAAAUAAAAUUUGUUAACAUUUUUAGUUUUUUUUUUAAAGUUAUUGAGCUUUGUUUGUUUGGCCCAACUUUCUUUUUCUGUUUCAACUAGAUCUUAGUCUUUUUCUUAUAUAUACACAAUGUAUUUUACUCUCUAAUACACACAUAAAUAAGAAUUUCUUUUGUAUUUUUUUUCUCUGCGUUUCUCUCUUUUAUGCUUAAGUCGUUGUCUUCUUUUCAUUUGCAAUUAGGGUUCAUUAGAACCUCCCUCUCUCCAUUGCGAUUACGUGCGCUCCAUUUGAUGCACCACAUCAAACAAGGAAUAUUCAUCUUCAUUAACUGUAAUAUGGUAUCAGAGCUCUUCAUUCGAAGAGCUCUGUUGCGCUUCUCUAUGAUCUUUAUUUCCUCCUUUGUUGUUCUUGGUUAUCUUUUCUAUUAUCUUUCAAAAUCUUGAUUGGGUUUCAAAAUCUCUUAGACAAUGUCUAAUGAAAACCAUAGUCUUCAUAGUCUUAAUAGUAGUCACACUAUUACAUGCAAUUUUUGUGGUAAAUACGGUCAUACUGAGGUUGUUUGUUUCGCAAAGUGGGUUUUCCUUCAGGUAAUGUUAAAACCUCAAAGUUUUAUUCUACUAGAAAAGUCUACACUUUUUGUAAUCGUCUAAAAAAGUAUGGGUUUUCUCCUGGCUACAAAUUCACCAAUUGGACAUCCCAAGGCAAUAGUACAAUUACUACUGAUACUUUUUUUGAACUUUUUCCUAAAGAACAGGAUGUAAAGGGAAUUCAACUUACAUCACAAUAGUGCCAAUUAGAUAUCAAUUUAAUAACUAUUUAUCAUUAAUAGAAACUAAUUUAGAAAUUAAUAAUUUUUUAAUAUCUAAAAUGGUCUCUAAUUUAAUCAAUAUAGUAACUAAUUAUUUUUUGUCUCUAAAAUUAGUUUUUAAUUAAAUAUUAUUUUUAGUGCUUGUUUAUCGCAUUUAAAUUUCAUUUCAAUUACUCAAUAAUAAACCAAAUAAUAUAUUUUUAUAAAUUUGGUGAAUAUAAAAGUUAUGUGUUACAAUUUUAUUGGUAUAAUAGACUUUUAUCUAGUCUUUUCUUAAAACUUUUUAUUAAUAGAUAUAUACUAUAUAUGUAUAUUUUUGUUAAUAUAUGGAUUUUAAUCUAAUUUCCUAUAUUUACUUGUAUUUCAUUUUUUUUAAUAAUAUAUUUUUUAUGUAGUGAUAGAUUAUUGUUAUUAUUUGAAGUGUGAUGUGAAGUUCCAAUGUCUGAUAUGAGAUUUUUUUAUUUUUUAUUUUAAUUUUUGUGUUAGUUUAAUGAAUAAAAAAAAUGAAUUCGGUAUGUAUAUUGUUUGAUAGUAAUAUAUGGUAGCCGCAAUAUUAACUAUUAAAAUAUCAUUUUGGUUUGAUUUAAUAUUUCAACAUUAUUAAAGUUUUACAUGUAAGAUAUUUUAAUCAUUUACUUAUUUUAAUGAUAUUUUCAAGAAAAAAAAUGUAGUUGACAAUAUAUUUUUAGAAAUCAAAUUGAUACAGGUUCAUCUUUCAAGAUCUACUAUAUAUCAAAGAUAAAAUUACUAAAAGAAUAUAAAAUAUCCUAUGUUUAUAAUUCUUUUAUUAAAAAUAAAUAAAUUUGGAUUUUUUUUAAAUGUUUACGGUUUACCUGUGAUUUUAUAGAGUAUUUUGUCCAAUUCAAUGAUAAGGAUUUUUUUUUAUGAUCAAAGAAUAAAUAAAAUAAAAUGAGACAUUUCAUGAGUGUUUCAACCCUUAUACAAAACAUUCAAAACAGGUUUCCUAGCAUCCUAUCAACCAAAGAUCCAACAAACAUUACACUACAAACCAAAACAAUAAACUAGUUCAAGAUAUAGAAACCUAACAAAUACAGUUACAUCAAUCCACCAAAGAGAUCACACCAACUAAACAAGAUCUUUGUCAGCAGGCUGAAGUGCCAUAACCAAGUGUCGAACUCAAUAAAACCGAUCCUACAAGAAGAAAAUGUAAACCAAAAUUAGUUCACCAAAGAGAUCACACCCUUAGUAUAGGACACAACAUCCAACACCUAAACAAUAACUUUGCAAUAGACUGAAGUACGCCAAAUAAUCAAUUGUCAACAUCAACAAACCGAUCCUACGAGGAGGAUAAAUAAACUAGAGAUAUCCUGCAAAAAGCACACAACAACUUCCCAAACUGGAUAGAUCAGUAACCAAAAACACCACAUAUCAAUCUCCCAAAGCUCAAACACCAUAAAGAUUCAAACACCAAACCGAGAAGCAUACAUCAAAAACACUUCCUUUACCGCAGCAAUCCAGGAACAAAAUCAUCAACCUGACCCUGCCAAGUAGAAAAGACCAAAAAAACCUGCACAAACACAUUAUAUCUUUCAAACCUGCAGGAAGAAAUCAUAAGCCAAAUAGACAUGCACACAACACAAACACCUCCCAAACGCAACUCAAGGACACACACCCCAAUCCAACCUUACCAGAUGGGAGGACCUGAUGAAACCUGCAGAAAACACACCACUACUUCCGAUUCCGAUUCCGAUUCCGAUUCCGAUUCCGAUUCCGUUUAUGAGGAAAAGCAUUUAUCUAAAUUGAGGACAAAAUUUAACAUUGCACUUUAAUCUGUAUUGUUUAAUUUUUUGGUCAUAGAAGAUAACAAAUCAAACUCACCUCCUUCACACAUCGUUGCAUAUGACUAGAAGCCAAAUUAAUCACGGCUUUGGGUGAAGCUUUUAUUAUUUUCAAUGCGAUCAAACAGAAAAAGACGUGUUCCAAUGGAUUAUUUUAAAUAAACAUUUCGAUAUUUUACCAAAUCUAGAUGGUUAGUUUUCUUGUUAUUUGUAGACGGUUUAUCUUAGUGUUUUUAUUUGUAGAUAUGGUUAGAUGCUUUGUAAUUCAUCUUUAAAUCUUAUCAAUAACUUUUUUUUUUUAGCUUUUAUUUAUGAAAAAAAUCUUCGAUUUUCUUUUGCUUUUGUGACAUAGUAAAACAAAAACAUCUAUAAAUGUGUGAAACCAUGGGCAUAGUUCCAAAAGUGGUGUUCUUGAACAAACAGCAACUCCUUCCAUUUUUUUCCACACCCGUUCAGGACAGUUUUGGAUUUACGUGAAAAAGUUUUAAAUAUAUUUUUAUUUUGUCUCCAUAGAGUUAGAAAGUGAGACUCACGACAGCAACAAAUUCUGAAACGUAGUUUUCAACGAACUCAUAACAGGACCACUAGGUUGCGUGAUUUAGGGUACAUUCAAGAAACAUUUCCACAUCAAUUAUUUAAAAACUUAUUAAUUUUUCUAAUUAAGCUCUUUAAUUUAUUAAAAACUUUAUAUUAAUCAGUUCCUCGUAUAAGCUACGAUUUUUUUUUUCUAUUGUUAUGCAUAAAGAUUGGAUCACUCGUGAAUGAUAAAAAAAUUAAAAAAUUCAGAUUUUGAAUAUAAAAAAAAGUUAAUUAGAAUAAAAUAUUUUACUUUGACAGAAACUAAUUAUUAAUUAAUGAGUAUAUAUUUGUUAAUGAAGUAGUUUACUUUAUAUAUUUGUUAAUUACUUGAAGUAAGAAAAACAGUCUUUAUUAUAUAAAAAAAAGUUAAACUUCUUUUAAAAGUGAGAGAUAAGUUUGAGUGAUUUGAAAUGUUUUAUUAAGUAAACUCCACAUAACCCAAUAACCUAUGAAUUUGAAGUAAUUAAAAAUAUUCACGUUUAGUUCUAAUAAUUGUUUUUAUCAUGAGAAGAAACUUGAUAUACUAAGCACCUAAUUACUUGAGUGAAGGCUAACUCUAGAAGAUUCAACACAAGACCCCUUAACCUUCCCACAUUUAUAAUUCAAUUAAUAUCAAGCUAUUAAGGUUAAUCUCUUUUAUGUUCAUAUAUAAUACAAAUUCUUUUUUCAAUAUUACUUCAGGAAUAUUCAACUAUCUUGCAUACCCUUUUUUCUGUAUAGUGGAAAUUUUUGACUGUUUUUUUUCUGACAUUGAAAGAUUCUACAUGUGAUCAGCAAGUGGAGAAGUGUUACCAAGUUGCUCAAAAGCCUUUAUAAGACUUCCACAUCACUUACAAUAACCAACCAAGAUAUAGGUAAUAUUUCCUUAUUAUUUAUCGAUUUACAUUAAUUAUAAUACAAUUUUAUAUUAAUUAUAAAAAAAUUAUAUUUUUUAAUAAGUGAAUAAAAUUAAACAAAGUGACAAGAUAAAUCUAAUCAUGUCAAAAAAUUAAACGAAAAAGAAAACCAAGUUAAAAAUUUAUAAAUUUUGAAUAUUCAAUAAAAAAUUAAAAGUAUUGAAAUUUAUAACAUACUUAAAGAUAAUUACAUUUAUUUCAAAAGUUCUUCUUCUCAGUACACGUGUUUGAAAAAAAUCUUUGACUUCUCCGACAUCUUUGACUGAGUUCAUCACAUAUCCAUUAGACAGAGUUCUUAUGCCACAAGAGUGGAUGAAUUAAUCUUUAUUAAAUAUUUUAAUAAUUUUAUUAGUUAAUCUAAUAAUAAAAUUAGUAAUUUAAUUUACUUUGAAUUUUUUUAACAUAUAUUUAAAUUACUAAUAUCAAUUAAUAAUAUUAACCACACGUUUAAAUCAACAAUUUCACUUUAUAAUUUAUUGUACAAAAAAUUUUAGCUAACAUUUUAAAUUUCAUAUUAAAACUAUUAUAAAGUAUGAUUUAAAUUAGUAAUCAUUCACAAAUUUACAAUUCACUGCAUAAUAAUUUAAAGUUUUAACAUUUUAAAACUUAAGCUUAUAUGUUUUAAAUAUUUUUAUGUUAGCAUAAUUUGAAAAUAAUUAUUCAUUAGUAUUAUUGCUGAGAGUUACAUUUUACAAUACUUUUAAUAACAUUAAAAAGUUAAAAAUAGAUAUAAUUAAUCAUCUUUUGGUCAACGUCCAAAUUUGAGUUAAGAGAAUAUUAUAAAAUGAUUUUUCGAACAAGUGUAUUAAGUCUAAAAUAUUAUAAAAUGAUUUUUCGAACAAGUUAAAGGAGUAAUGUAAGUUAAACAGAUAAUUAAGUCUAAAACAUUAGAAAUAUUAAAUUUAUAAAAUAGCUAAAGAUAAUUAUUUUUAAUUUAUAAUUAUAUAAUUACUUAGUCUUUUGAAAAGUUGUCUUUCCCUCUGAAGCAAUGAAUGAUCUAUUUAACAACUCCUACCUCCAAACAGUAGAUACACUAAACUCCUUCAAAUGGAUUUUGUUCUAAGUUACCUGAAUACCACCACCAUUGGACUUGUUUCUCUUAUCAUCUUCUCUUUCUUUUUCUAUGGUCUCUUCAAAUUUUCUCAAGGGAAAGAAGCUCCCACAGUUGCAGGUGCAUGGCCAAUACUUGGUCACCUUCCAUUGUUGAGUGGUUCAAAGUCACCCCACAGAACUCUGGGUGCUUUGGCUGAAAAAUAUGGACCCAUUUUCACCAUCCAACUUGGUUCCAAAAAGGCUCUGAUAAUCAACAACUGGGAAAUAGCAAAGGAAUGCUUCACCACAAUCGACAUGGUUGUUUCUUCUCGCCCCAAGAUUCUCGCCUCUGAACUCAUGGGCUACAACCAUGCCAUGUUUGGCUUUGCACCUUAUGGUCCCUAUUGGCGCGAGAUACGAAAGAUUACAACGUUAGAAAUCCUUACUACUCGUCGAGUGGAACAGCUGCAGCAUGUUCGUGUCUCAGAACUUCAAAACUGGAUCAAACAGUUGUAUAAUGUUUGGUGCAGCCAGAAGAGUGAGUCUGGCUAUGCCUUGGUGGAGCUGAAGCAAUGGUUUUCUCACCUCGCAUUCAACAUGGUUCUUCGAAUGGUCGUUGGGAAGAGAUAUUUUGGUGGUGAAAACUUGCAAGAUGAGAAGGCACAGAGAUGUGUGAGGGCUGUGGAGGAGUUCAUGCGUCUGUUUGGGGUGUUCACAGUGGGAGAGUUUGUUCCAUGGUUGAGAUGGUUUGAUUUUGGAGGCCAUGAGAAGGCAAUGAAAGCAACUGCAAAAGAGUUGGAUAGUAUUAUAGGUGAGGAGUUAGAGGAACAUAGAAAAAGGAAGGGUUUGGGUGAGAAGGUUGAUGAAGCUCAAGAUUUCAUGGAUGUAAUGAUUUCAUUGCUUGAUGGAACAACUAUUGAAGGGAUCGAUGCAGAUACCAUGAUCAAAUCCACCGUACUGGUACGUAUGUUUAAUUUAUACGUUAUAAUGCUUUCAAAAUGUGAAACUUCAACAAAAACUAAACAAAACUAAACAUAUAAAUACAACAUAGUUCUUAAUUAAAUUUGGUAUUUAGUAUUGUGGUUGGUCUGGUUUUAUAACAAUGUUUAGUGGAGAUGAGGAUUAUGGGUAGAAUUAUAUGCAUGAGGUCUAGAAUUCUCUUGUUAUCUUCUAAGCUUAUAGGGAGUGUGAACCUCUUUACUUUUUAUACGGAUUAGGAUAUCCUUAAACCUUAAAGUAUGUUUUUUAAUUCAUUUUAUUUAUCAUCAUAAAAAAAAUUAAAUUUGAAUUAUUUUCUCAGAAACUGACCUUAAAAACAUUAUAAAAUACCAACUUCUCUAGCAGAAGUACAGUUUCUUUUUCUGGCACAAGAAGUCUAUUUUCUUUCACUUAUUCUUCACGCAAGUGUGUUUUAUCGUCUCUACCGUUUAUAUGGGGUUCGUUUGAUAGAGGGGAGAGAUAUGAGUGUUUUUCGGGAGAGUGAGGGAUAUAGUGAAGUUGUGAUUGAGGGAGAAAGGGACAUUUGUAGUGUUGUAUGAAUGAAAAUCAAUGGACCACUUACAAUUUUUUCUUCUUUUUCUACUUUGAUUUGGUUUUUGUGAAAAAUAAUGAAAUUUUGAAAAAAAAACUUGUAAAUUAUACAUCAUCAGUUUAGAAAUUGUUUACUUUUUCGAAGGUGGAAAUAUGCAAUGAUUAUAGAACUCAUGCAAGUAGUCCCUAGAAAAUAAAUAAAAUUAAAUAACUUUUUCUUGUAAAUUAAAAUUAACUUUAAACUAAGUUAUUUUUUAGUAAUAAGUUUUCCAAACAUAAUCUUAAUUUUCUUUACUUAAAUAUUUUUGUUGGGUGACUUAUUUGAUUUGCAGGCAGUGGUAUCAGGAGGAACUGACACAAGUAAUACAGUUCUUACGUGGGCAAUAUCUUUGAUUUUAAGAAAUCCUUCGGUGUUAGAAAAAGUAAAAGAGGAACUAGACAUUCAUAUUGGGAAAGAAAAAUGCGUAAGUGAGUCUGAUAUAAGUAAGUUAACAUAUGUUCAAGCUAUAGUCAAAGAAAGUUUAAGAUUGUAUCCUCCUGGUCCUCUUUCGGGACCUCGUGAAUUCACAGAGAAUUGCACUUUAAGAGGCUAUAAUAUAAAAAAGGGAACCCGACUAAUCACAAAUCUUUGGAAGAUUCAUACAGAUAGUAAUGUUUGGGAAGAUCCUUUGGAGUUUAAACCAGAAAGGUUUCUUACAACUCAUAAAGAUAUUGACAUCAAAGGCCAUCAUUUCGAGUUAUUACCAUUUGGAGGUGGCAGAAGAAUGUGUCCCGGAGCAUCCUUUGGCCUUCAAAUGGUGCAUUUCAUUCUUGCUAGUUUUUUGCAUUCUUUUGAAAUUAUAAGUUCAUCACCUGAUCCUAUUGAUAUGAUUGAAACCUUUGGAUUAACCAACACCAAAGCCACUCCACUUGAUAUUCUUAUUAAACCACGUCUAUCUCUUAAUUGUUAUGAAAACAAUUAAUCCAUGUGCUAGCUACGUGAUUACCUUGUAUUUUUGUUCCAAGUACUUUUUUGUUCCUACUAAAUAGUUUAAAGUACUUGUUAUGUUUGUAGUUCCUCAGAUAAAUUAUUUUAUAUUUUCGUUUUAAAGUACUUCUAAUAUUUGUUUUUUUUAUUAGUAAAGAAUAAAAUAAAUUAUUGUAAUACUUGUAAUAUUUGUAUUAUACUUUUGUAAAUUUUGUAACUCUUUCAAAUAUAUAAUUGAUAAAAGUAUAAUUAUAAUGUAUGUUGUAAUCUGUUUGCUCUGUUUCUUUGAAGUUGGAACUUGUAUAAAGGUUGAAACACUCUUAAAGUAUUUCCUUUAUUUAAUUCAUUCAUUGUUGAUAAAAAACAAUCUGAAAAAAAAUUCAAGUAGUUGACAGCUGCAACAAUCUCAAAGCUCCCAAAGCCCAUCUUGUAUGAUUUAAUCCUGUAAUGAAAAAAAUGGGCAUUUUCUUCCUGCACCCCUACAUUUUUCUUCCUGCACACCCACAAAUUUGUAAAUUUCGAAACUGACCUCCACAAUUUCAGGAUCUAAGAGUGUGUUACGGCUUCAUCAAUCCAAAAGUGAAUCAUGUUGCAUUCUGGAUGAGGGGGUAUUCCGGAAGCCUAAUUUCUAUUACGGAUUGGUGGAUCCGGAAUGAUUUUUUUCAAUUAUUGAUUUCUGAAUCCAGAAUGCAUAUUUUGAAUUACGGAUUGGCGGAUCAGGAAUGGUUUUUUCAAUUAUGGAUGUUUUGCAUUUUUUUUAUUUUGGAUUAACAUUAUCAUUCAUGUACUACUAGAAGCACCAAUCCGGGAGAUUACCGGAAGCGCCAAUCCAAAAAUUUACUGGAAGGGCCAAUCCGAAAAUUUACCAGAUUUCAUAAUCUGGAAUACAAAUUUUUUUAUAAAUGUACAGUUUAUAUAGGGACAGUUUUGUCUUUGCGCAACUUUGUGGGGGUGCAGGAAGAAAAAUGUCGGGCUGCAGGAAGAAACUGCCAAAAAAAUGAAAAAAAAUUGCAGCCUCAUCUUGUAUGGGGUUGUUUCUUCCUGCACCUCCAUAUAUUCUUCUCCCACCUCUAUAAAUUUUCAUAUUUCCAAAAAUACUCCUCUCUCCCACCUUCAUAUAUUCUUCUCUCACCUCCAUAAAUUUUCAUAUUUCCAAAAAUACUCUUAUGUAAUAUUCUGGAUUAUUUAAUCCAGAAGUCUUUUUUCAAAUUUGUAAUUAGCUUCCGGAUUACAUAAUCCAGAAGCCUUUUUUCAGGUGCAUGAUUAGUUUCCAGAUUAUAUAAUUUGAAAGUUUUUUUUAGCUUACAGAUUACAUAAUCCGGAAGUCUGUUUUCAAGCUACUCUAAGAUAAUGAAACAAGAAGGAAGCUACUCUAAAGAGAUGACACAAGAAGGCUAAAAAGUAUUUUCAUCAAGAGGUGUAGGAAGAAACAGUCCUUGUAUGAUUCAAUCCCAGUGUUAAAGCUCAGCGAAGUUUCUCAAAAGCCUUUGCACAUUAUCCUUACAAUAACCAAGAUAAUUCUUUAUUAUCCCAUCCCUUUUUAAUAAAAAAUAUUUAUUUAUCGAUUUAUAUUAAUUAUAAUAUCGUUUACAUUAAUUAAAAAAUAUAUUGUUUUAAUACAUUAAGAUAAUUAAAUAAAAUGACAAGAUAAAUAAAAAUCAUGUCAAAAAAUUAAACAAAAAAAAAUACUAAGUUAAAAAUUUAAAAAUUUCGAAUAUUCAAUAAUUUUUUUUAUUAAAAGUAAUUAAAUAUAUUCAAAUUUAUAAAAUACUUAAAAGAUAAGUACAAUUAUUUGAAAAGUUUUAGUCACGUGUGUUUUGAAAAAAAAUCCAACUUUUUUAGUUUCUUAUAUAAACUUGAGUUGGAAAAGAAUAGUUUGACAAAAAUGUACCUCUUCACCAAGCCAUCAACUUGGCUUUGAAUGAUCUAUUUAAGAAUACCACUACCAUUGAUUGUACUCAACAAAGCUCAAAUGGAUUUUGUUCUAAACUACUUGAAUACCACUGCCAUUGCAAUUCUUUCUCUAAUCCUCUUCUGUUUAUUCUUCUACAAUCCCUUCAAUCUUUUUCAAACCAAAGAGGCUCCCACUGUUGCAGGAGCAUGGCCAAUACUUGGUCACCUUCCACUUCUGACUGGUUCAAAGAGACCCCAUAGAACUUUGGGUGCUUUGGCUGACAAAUAUGGACCCAUUUUCACCAUCCAACUUGGUUCCAAAAGGGCCUUGGUAAUCAACAACUGGGAAACGGCAAAGGAAUGUUUCACCACAAACGACAUGGCCGUUUCCUCUCGCCCCAAGCUCGUCGCCGCUGAACUCAUGGGCUACAACCAUGCCAUGUUGGUCUUUGCACCCUAUGGUCCCUAUUGGCGCGAGCUACGAAAGAUUUUAACUUUAGAAAUCCUUACUACUCGUCGAGUGGAACAGCUGCAGCAUGUUCGUGUCUCAGAACUUCAAAACUGGAUCAAACAGUUGUAUAAUGUUUGGUGUAGCCAAAAGAGUGAGUCUGGCUAUGCCUUGGUGGAGCUGCAGCAAUGGUUUUCUGACCUCUCAUUCAACAUGGUUCUUCGAAUGGUCGUUGGGAAGAGAUAUUUUGGUGGUGAAAACUUGCAAGAUGAGAAGACAAAGAGAUGUGUGAAGGCUGUGGAGGAGUUCAUGCGUCUGUUGGGGGUGUUCGCAGUGGGAGAUGCUGUUCCAUGGUUGAGAUGGUUUGAUUUUGGAGGCCAUGAGAAGGCAAUGAAAAAAACUGCGAAAGAUUUGGAUAGUAUUAUAAGCGAGGAGUUAGAGGAACAUAGAAAAAGGAAGGGUUUGGGUGAGAAGGUUGAUGAAGCUAAAGAUUUCAUGGAUGUAAUGAUUUCAUUGCUUGAUGGAAGAACUAUUGAAGGGAUCGAUGCAGAUACCAUGAUCAAAUCCACCGUACUGGUACGUAUGUUUAAUUUACACGUUAUAAUGCUUUGGAAAUGUGAAACUUUAAGAGAAUUAAACAAAUAAAUACAACAUAGUUCUUAAUUAAAUGUGAAAUAUUUUCUCAGGAACUUACCUUAGUUGUGAAUAUAUAUAUUCUACUUCGUCGGUUUAGAAUCAGUUGUAUGAAAAUAUAAGGUAUAACACUUUCGUCUUAAUGAUGUAAAAGCAUUACAAAAUUCUUCACACAAGUGUGUUUUAUCGUCUUUACCGUUUAUAUGGGGUUCAUUUGAUAGACAUGAGUGUUUUUUGGGAGAGUGAGGGAUAUAGUGAUGUUGUGAUUGGGAGAGAAAGGGACAUUUGUGGUGUUGGGUGAAUGAAAAUGAAUGGACAACUUACAAGGUGUUUCAACUUUUUUUUAUAUCUCCUAGUUAAUUAUUCCAAAAGCUACAAAACAACUACCAAAUUUUCCACUCAAAUUUGGUUUUUGUGAAAAAUAAUGAAAUUUUGAGAUUUUUUUUUUAAUUGUACAUCAUCAGUUUAGAACUUGUUUAAUUUUUCCAUGGAGGAAAUGUAAAUUAUUAUAGAACUCAUGAAGUAUUCCGUAGAAAAUAAAUAAAAUUAAAUUUUUUUCUUGUAAAUUAAAAUUAAGUAUAACCUAAGUUAUUUUUAGUAAAAAGUUUUUCAAAUAUAAUCUUAAUUCACUAUAACAAAAUUAUUAAAUAAAAACUAAUUUUAGGAACCAAAAUAAUUAGUUAUUAUUUGUUUAAAUUAGAGAUCAUUUUAUAAAUUAAAAAAAUUAUUGGUAUGGAAAGUAGUUUUUAUUAUUAAUAAAAAUUUAUAAAAUAGAUUUUUAAAUUGGUAUAUAACCAUUAACUACCAAGAUUUUAACUACUUACUACUUUAUAUUCUAAAUCGGUCUCUAUUAGUCUUUUAUAGACUAAUUUAAAAUAUAAAAUAUUAGUAACUAAAAUCUAGAUAAUUAAUUUAGAUACCAAUUUAGAAAAUAUUUUAUAAAUUUUUAUUAAUAAUAGAAAUUAUCUUAGAUACCAAUAAUUUCUUAAUCUCUAAAUAAGUAUCUAAUUUAGUCAAUAUAGUGACUAAUUAUUUUUUAUGUUUAAAUUGGGUUGCUUUUAAUGAUUUUUUUUCUAGUGAUUUUCUUCACUUAAAUAUUUUUGUUGGGUAACUAUUUUGUUUUGCAGAAUGUGAUUGCAGGAGGAACUGACACAAACAAUACAGUUCUUACAUGGACAAUAUCUUUGAUUUUAAGAAAUCCUUUGGUGUUGGAAAAAGUAAAAGAUGAACUCGACACUCAUAUUGGAAAAGAGAAAUGCGUAAAUGAAUCUGAUAUAAGUAAGUUAACAUAUCUUCAAGCCAUAGUCAAAGAAACUUUAAGAUUGUAUCCUCCUGGUCCUCUUUCGGCACCUCGUGAAUUCACAGAGAAUUGCAUUUUAAGAGACUAUAAUAUAAAAAAGGGAACCCGACUAAUCACAAAUCUUUGGAAGAUUCACACAGAUAGUAAUGUUUGGGAAGACCCUUUGGAGUUCAAACCAGAAAGAUUUCUUUCAAAUCAUAAAUAUAUUGAUGUCAAAGGUCAUCAUUUUGAGCUAUUACCAUUUGGAAGUGGUAGAAGAAUAUGUCCAGCAAUAUCUUUUGGCCUUCAAAUGGUGCAUUUCACUCUUGCUAGGUUUUUGCAUUCUUUUGAAAUUGUAAGUCCAUCACCUGAUCCUAUAGACAUGACUGAAACAUUUGGAUUAACCAACACUAAAGCCACUCCACUUGAUAUUCUUAUUAAACCACGUCUAUCUCUUAGUUGUUAUGAAAACAACCAUUCCUUGUCUUAGCUACGUGAUUACAUUGUAUUUUUGUUCAAAGUACUUUUUUGUUCAUACUAAAUAGUUCAAAGUAUUGUAGUUCCUCUAUUAUAUAUUUGUAUUUUUGUUCAAAAGUACUUGUAAUAUUUGUAGUAUUAAACAUAUAAAUACAACAUAGUUCUUAAUUAAAUCUGAAAUGUUUUCUCAGGAACUUAACUUAGAUAUGAAGAUAUGUAUUUUACUUCAUCGGUUUAAAAUCAAUUGUAUGAAAAUAUAAGGUUUAACACUUUCGUUAAUGAUGUAAAAACAUUACAAAAAAUUUCAUGCAAGUGUAACACUUUCGUUUAUAUGGGAUUUGUUUGAUACAGGGGAGAGAUAUAAGUGUUCUUUUAGAGAGUGAGUAGUGACGUUGUGAUUGUUACAUAAUCUUAACAAACUAUUUAUUGUUUUCAAAGACUGGUCAAAGCAUUUAAAACUAGAGCGUAUUCAGUUAUAAAAUCAUUUAAAGCUCAUUCAAAGCACAAAAUAGUUUUCUGUUAUGGUCCCAAAACAAACAAUCAGUUGAAUGCUCGAAUCAAUCGGUUGUUUUGGUUUGACAGCAAGUCAACCAUCAAAAACAGUUUUCAACCUUUCUAAAAACACUUAAGUAUAAAACAAUUGGUUGUUUCGACAAAAUAACAGGUUAUUUUUCACUUAGUUUAAAAAAAAACUUUCAAUUAAAAGGUUUGAGAAUGCUUAAGUUUUGGAUUCAAUCAAGAGUGGAUUAACACAGACAAUCUACCCCAUAUCCUAUUCUAAAACACCUCAGCAACAGCAAACACAUCCAGCCUUCCUUCGAUCUUCAAAGGAUUUGGAUUCUUUAAAGCUUGAACACACUUGAUUCAACAAACACUACUUAGUGUUGACCUUCAAAGGACGAUCCUAAUGAUUUAGAGUAUACUACAUGUGCAAUGCAAAUCUCACAUUAUUAACUAAUUAGCAUUGUUUUUACUUAUUAAAGUUUGAACGAUCCUAUAAUAAUGUAUUUUCUUAUAGCAGAAAUAAAAGUUAAAAACUUUUCAAAAGGAAAUAGAAACUAAAAAUGAUAACAAAAUAUAAAAAUCAAGUUGGAGAAGAUAAUUUUGAGAACAUGUAUUAGUUAUGGUGACUUUAAUUGAAUUUCUCACCAUCAAUUCGGGGAAAAACAAUUUUCAACAACAAUAAAUAGUUAAAUAAAUAGAAAUAUUAGGAGUACUUCAGCCAUAUACAAAAACCUACCCUGUAGAAAAGGCUAAUACAAAGUAGGAAAAUACCCAACACCGUAUAGAUUAAUAUGAAUAUAUAUCCAUGAGUAUGGUGUAUAGAACCUCUAACAAAAAGUUAUAAUAGUGCUUCAUUCAUACAUAAUGUCAGGGAAUAAAAACGCCUAACAACACGGCCCUUCCUAUCACAAAGCUGGUACGUCUUCAGACUCACUAUCUGAUGGGGAUUUUUUGAACUGCAAUUUGAGAUUAUGUGAGCCCAGAAUUUCGGGGGAAUCAUCUAAGUUAUGGGAGAUUGGAAAGCAAUCUGGGAUAAUCUGUAGGUGGGACGAAGAAGAGGUUGUGAAAGAAUACGAUUGCAUGGAAGAGAGAGAUGUUCAGGUUAUGGAAAAGUAUGAGGAGGGUAAAAAGAAAGAGCAUCUAUGUUGAUAGUAAAUUUGAACAUAAGAAGGUUAGGGGGAAGUACUAAAGCUCGAUAUUUAAAGCACAUUAUAACUAGAGAGGAGGCGGAUUUUGUAUGUAUUCAGGAAACAAAACAGAUGGUCCUUUCGGAUGCAAGAUGCUUUUCCUUAUGGGGGGAUAAUAAUGUGGGAUGGGUACAUUACGGAGGAGACAAUGGUAGUGGUAGUCUGCUCUCUAUGUUGCAUAAAGAAGUUUUCUGCUAUGACUCUCAUGUGAUGGGGAAGGGGUUUAUUGUUGUGUUUGGCCAACAUAAGGGUUCAAAAUGUAGGUGUGUGGUGGUGAAUGUUUAUGCUAAUUGUUCCCUGAGUGAGAAGGUAUCCUUGUGGGGGGAACUGACAAACCUAAAGAAGGGUUCAGCAGACUCCGUUUGGUGCUUCUGUGGUGACUUCAAUGCCAUAAGAAAGCGGUGUGAAAGAAAAGGAGUUAAUAUGCGGGACAACCAAUCCAAUGAGAUGAGAGGUUUUAAUAGCUUCAUUGAUACUAAUUUUCUUAUUGAAAUACCUUUGGUGGGAAAGCCCUUUACGUGGUUUAAUUCAAAUGGCAAGGCUAAGAGCAGGCUAGACAGGGUGUUGGUUACCGAAGAUUGGAUGCAAACAUGGCCUAUGUGCAAGCAAUAUGUGCAACGUAGGGAGGUGUCAGACCAUUGCGCCAUAGUGGUGAAAUCUGUGGAGAAGGACUAGGGUCCUAAACCUUUCAGAUCUAUAGAUGCAUGGUAUACGGAACAGGGUUUUGGCCAUAUGGUGAAGGAAAAAUGGAUAUCCUAUCCCUCUCAGGGGAAUGCCUUCACAGUGAUAAAAGAAAAGAUGAAGAGGUUGAAGGGGGAUUUGAAGGUGUGGAAUAGGGAUGUCUUUGGAAAUCUGGAGACAACAAAGAAAUCCAUUUUGUUGGAGCUUGAGGCUCUAGAUUGCCAAGACUGUAGUGUAGGGUUAUUGGAAGAUGAGAGAUUACACAGAAUUGGUUUGGUGAGUAGAUUGAAGGAGACUGAUAAGAAGCUAGAGUCUUUGUUGUGCCAAAAAGCUAGAGCCAGUUGGUUAAAGAGUGGAGACUCAUGCACGGAAUUUUACCACACUUCUCUAAGAUGGAGACGGCUAAAAAAUGAAGUUAAAGGUGUUAAGGUGGGGGGCCAGUGGUGUGAAGAGCCUUGUACAAUCCGUGGUGAAGCUAAGAAGUUGUUUGAAAAAAGGUUUGAGGCAACAAGAGAUUUUGGUGUUAGACUUGAUGCGGUAGAGUUUAAUUCUUUAAACCAGGAGGAGAAUUUAAAGCUGAUAGCAGAGUUCACAGAGAAGGAAGUUAGGGAUGCGGUGUGGCUUUGUGAAGGUUCCAAGUCCCCAGGACCUGACGGGUUUAAUUUUCUCUUCAUAAAGAAAAGCUGGGAGUUCAUCAAAGUAGAGUUUAUGGCAGCUUUGGCUUCUUUUCAUAGUACAGGUCAUAUUCCCAAAGGUUGUAAUGCCUCUUUCAGUGCUCUUGUUCCUAAAGUUGGAGAUCCAAUCCUGCUUGAGCAGUAUCGUCCUAUCUCUUUAGUUGGGGCCACCUACAAAAUUAUCUCUAAGGUCCUAGCAGGAAGAAUGAAGAAUGUACUUUCCUCUAUUAUUAAUGAAAGCCAGUCGGCUUUUAUUAAGAACAGAGGGAUACUCGAAAGUGUGCUUAUGGGUAAUGAAGUAGUGGAGGAUCUCAGGAGGAGUGGGAGAAGUGGAUUGUGUCUGAAGGUGGAUUUUGAAAAGGCGUACGAUUCGGUUAGCUGGGUCUUCCUUUACGACAUGCUCCAAAGGUUAGGGUUCCAUAGUAAGUGGAUUGGUUGGACCAGAGGUUGUAUGGAAAGUGCAACAUUCAGUUCUGGUUAAUGGGAGCCCUGCGGAGGAAUUCAAACCCUCGAGAGGGUUGAGGCAGGGCGACCCUCUUGCGCCAUUCCUCUUUACAGUGGUAGCAGAAGGUUUGGCUGGUAUAGUAAGGCAAGCGGAAAAGGCCAGAUUACUUUCUGGUCUUAAGAUUGGGAGAAAGGAGGUUGUACUGAGUAUCCUACAGUAUGCAGAUGACACUGUUUUUUUCUGUGAGGACUCUUACACCAACGUGGUGACACUGAAAUCCAUCCUCAGGGGGUAUGAGCUCGCUUCAGGGCUGAAGAUCAAUUUUCACAAGUCAAAACUUACAGGUAUUAAUGUUCAAAGAAGUAAUCUUGAUUGCUACACAAAGACUUUGAAUUGUGUUCAGACGGGUUUCCCGUUCAAAUAUUUGGGUCUUGAAGUGGGAGGUAAUUCGAGAAAGAAGAAGUUUUGGGAGCCUGUGAUAAACAAACUUAAAGCAAGGCUCAACGUGUGGAAAGGAAGAUUCCUAUCUAUGGCAGGGAGAAUAUGCCUUAUUAAAUCUGUUUUAUCCUCCGUCCCGCUAUACUAUCUGUCACUUUUCAGAGCACCGAUCACGGUUUGUAGAAGUAUCACCAGAAUCCAAAGGAGGUUCCUAUGGGGGUGGGGGAAGGAGAAGGAGACGAUAUCAUGGGUAAGUUGGAAAGAGUUAUGUAAGCCAAAAGAGGAGGGUGGUCUGGGUUUGAGAGAUGUGCAUAACUUCAAUCUUGCUUUGCUGGCUAAAUGGAGAUGGCGUCUCCUAGUGGAUGAAAAAGUUAGGUGGAAGGAUCUGUUGGUCUCGAAGUAUGGAUCGAGUUCUAAUGCUUCACAGUCACCAGUGAAACUUCAAUCAUGAUGGUGGAGAGACUUGUUCAAAGAUUGCAGGGAGGACAGAGGAGAUGAUUGGUUCAACAAAGAGAUCGGGUGGAAGCUAGGAUGUGGGGACAAAGUAAAGUUUUGGAAAGACAUAUGGAUUGGGAACUUUAAUCUCAAAUCGAUGUACCCAAGGCUUUUUUCUUUGUCUUUAAAUCAGGGGCAAAAGGUGGAGGAGGCUAGAGUGUGGAUUGGAACGGUAUGGCAGUGGUGUUUAAGGUGGAGGCGUCCUAGAUUUGUGUGGGAAUCUGAAUUGGAAGUAGAAAUGAUGAGGCAUUUGUCGUCGAUUAAGUUGAGCAGAGAACAAAAGGACGUCCAAGUGUGGGGGAAUGAUGUAGGAAAUGGGUUCUCUGUGAAUUCUGCUUAUGAUUGCCUUACAAAACAACGUAGAGGCUCACACUCAGAGGUAUUCAUAAACCUUUGGAAGGUUAAAGCUUUCCCUAGUUUGGUGACUACAACGUGGAGGAUCCUUGUUGGGUUUAAUAGUGCCAAAGUUCAAGAGGGGGGUGAAUUGACCUUUUAAAACUUUCUCGCAGAAACAGUGUUUAACACAGUUUUACAGAAAAUAAAUCGAAUUAUGUAAAAAUGAACAGAUUUAUUUCAGCACUGUUUUUGUUUGAAAAGCUUUUAAUACAGCAAGAUUAAUCACAAGAUUAUGCAGAUAGAUUUUCCAGAUGCACACACACAGAUAUCAUAUUGAAAAACAGUGAAACACAGAAAACAACAAACCUUAAUUCCAAUUAAUGUGAUUUAGGUUCAGUUAAGGGCUUGACAAUUAGUGAGACAAUCUAUCACAUACAACCUGUUUUAUUAGCCUUUAACAGAUUAUCAGUGUUCUUGUUAAAACCAGACAGUUUUCCAGAAAUUAAGAACAAUAUGCACAGCGCCCAGAAAGAACAGAUUUAUUUUCAAUUGAACAGAUUUAUUUCUUUGCUGUUUUAUCAAUUAUGCAGAAACGAAAUUGCAGAGAGUGAGAGAGAAUGAACACAAGCANNNNNNNNNNNNNNNNNNNNNNNNNNNNNNNNNNNNNNNNNNNNNNNNNNNNNNNNNNNNNNNNNNNNNNNNNNNNNNNNNNNNNNNNNNNNNNNNNNNNUUAUACUGGUUCACUCAACUGAGCUACAUCCAGUCUUCACCAACACCAGGUGGAAAUCACUAAACCACAGUACAACCAAGUACAAUUCCCACUGUUCUUGAAACCUACAAGAACUUAGGUACUCUUGCUGAAAAAACCUAUUUCAGCACACACACACCCACUCUUCAAGAACACCUAUCAAGAAGAGUGUUCAACCAAACUAUUACAAGAAAUGAGAAGUGAAACGACUCCACCUGAUUGAGGAUACAAAGAUCUACCUUAAACCAGUAGGCAAGAUUGCUAGAACAGUAGCAGCACCUCACACCAAACUUUUGGAACCAAACCAAGAACAAGCACUUUGUGAUUUUUGAAAUCUUUGAAGAACAAAUGCUAAUCAUUUGUAAACUUUUGAUUCUUUGCUGUAAAACUUGUUUUUGCAAAUGUAUGAACUGUUGUUAAACUCAGAAACAAGUUUGCAUUUUAUAGAAAACCAACUUAUAACAGAUUUUUGAAAAACAGUUAAAGCUGUUAUAAAAUGAACAGAUUGAAAAUAAAAUGAACAGAUUUAUUUUCAAAAAACAGUUAGAGAAUUUGUUAAGUGAGGAGACUUAGUCAACCAUUCUGGUGCAGAGAUAAAACUGAAAACGUUUAAGCUUGACAUGGCACCAGAGACAAAAAGNNNNNNNNNNNNNNNNNNNNNNNNNNNNNNNNNNNNNNNNNNNNNNNNNNNNNNNNNNNNNNNNNNNNNNNNNNNNNNNNNNNNNNNNNNNNNNNNNNNNAGUCAAAAUACCUGAUGCACAAAAUCUAAUUUUCACAAGACUUAGCCAAGGCAUCAGUGUAAAAACGAAUCUGUUUAUUUAGAAAAGAACAGAUUUAUUUUUAUGCAGUAAACGUGUUUUUUGUAAAACAUGUGAAAAACAGUUUAAGAAAACUUAUGCUUGUUCUUAUCACAUGGCCAGUGGUUAUGAGGUGAGUUACUCAGCAAAAAGCCCACUCUUAGACAACCUCUAAGCACUACCUAAGACAUACUUAAAGCAAAGCAAAAUACAAAUGUAAUGUACAUAGAUGUCUUCAUCAAACACAAUCUUGAAGGAGCAACAACCAUCUUCAACAAUCCUGACGAACAGUGUACCAACAAGAGAAUGUCUAAGUAGGAGAGGGGUGAUGUUAAAUAAUGCCUUAUGUGCUCUGUGCCAGGUUAAUGCUGAAUCAUGUCAACAUCUUUUUUUGGAGUGUAAACACGCGAUGAGUGUUUGGUUCAUGUGCUUUAGAUGGGUUGGGAUUCUGUUUGUUCAACAUAAUGAUGUAAAGACCCACUUUGAGAAUUUCCACUUGUUUCAGAUUAGCAGUAAACAAAAUAUGGUUUGGAAAGGGAUUUGGACAGCAGUGGUUAGAUGCAUAUGGGACCAAAGGAAUUCGGUGGUGUUCAAGCAAGGUGUUGUGGAUGUGGAGGAGAUUUUUCAAAAGGUACAGUUAAAAUCCUGGUUAUGGGUAAAGCACCAUUCUUCUUUCUUCUCUUAUUCCUUAGUGGACUGGAUUUUGAAUCCAAUCCCCUGUAUAAAAAGCAUUAAGUAAUUGGGGCUGGUAGGUAUUGUUUCAGCUGGGAAUGUCGGGCUUGUUUAACCUCUGUGGGGCACGUGUGCAGUUAUGAAAACUUGUUAUUCUGUGCUGGAGGAUGCUCAAAUAGGUGCAGACAGUAGGCCGAAGUGAUUGGGGUACAUUAGAGGAAUUUAUCGGAUUUAUGCAGAAAGGUGGUUUGGCCACAAUGAGCAAAAGUUAGAGGCAUAGGACCAGUAAGAGGACAUGAAGUUUUGGGGUUGCUGUUUGGGUUUGCUGGGGCUGCAGAGGUCCCGUAAUGGGAUGCAAAGACGCUGAGCCUAGGGUUGUAAUAGGUGGGAUGUUGUUCGACGUGAGGAAUGGUGAGGAAUGGAGAGGUAACUUAUAUAACAACUAGGAUUUUUUUAGUGUAGAUUGACAGGGAGGAGCACCAACCAUGAAGAAUCAGAAUUGGAGAAGUUCUGGAAAAUCCUGCUGCUGGUGCAUAAACAAGAGCAGGAACUUUAUCUGUUUCUUUUUUCUUUGUCUUAGGAACAAAUCUUAUGUCUUUGGCUGAGUAAUUGAAAGCUUCUCCAUGCUUUUAAUUCUCUGGAUUGUAAUUGAGUAUUUGAUAUUUGUAUAAGGGUUGGGAUACCCCUCAAGUGUCCCGUUUUUAUUCAUUAAUUCAUUGCUGAUCAAAAAAAAAAAAAACACCACUAUACUUCUCAACCACAAUUCCUAAAAUUACGCACAAAAAUGACCCAACCAACCUUGUUACAAAUCUUAUAAAAUUAAAUAGAUACAAUUGGUAGAGCUCCAACUAAAGUAAAUUGCUUGUAGUUCAAUAGAAGGGAUUGUGUAUAUGUAUUUUAAAUUCCAAUGGUUAGUGUGAAGAAAUGACACAUAAUCAAUCUUAUACAACUCAUUUCCCCAUCUUCUAUAACAUAUGGUGUUUUUGUUCCAAUCCUAAGUUCCAUUAUAGACUGAUAACUCUUGGUUUUCAAUACUUUUAUAGAGUAAUUGCAUUUUCUUGAGGUUUUUUUUUUGUUUUUAUUUUCUAAUUUUAGAUUAGAUUUGUAUUUUCUUCCAAAUAAUAUAGUUUUAAUAAAAAUAUCAUUAAAAUUGCAUUUUAUAGUUUUUAUUUUGCUUGAAUCAUCUAACGUGUGCUUUGAUCAUUUAAAGGAACAAUUUUUGAAUUGCUUUUGAUCUUGGAAGCUUGGAAGAAGAUGUUGAUGCAUGGAGAUUGGAAACCGACACUUAAAGAGCAUAAAUUAUGCAAAAAUCAGGCAACUAACAGUAAAGAGUUAGUAGUAAAUUGGAACUAGAUGAUCAACUUAACCCUCAAAGAAAGAACUUAAGUUAGUUUAGAAUUGAUCUUUUGGGUCCAAUUGAAAGCCCAUCGUUUGUAAAAAUUAAAAACUCUAUAGAGUAUACAACACCAUUUUUCACUUUAGGCCACGUUGACAUGUCAACGGGUAAAAAAGUGUUGCCUGAAGUAGGUAUAAGUAACAGUUUGUUAUUGUUGUCCAUGCAGUAAGGCUUAUUUCUCUGUGAAAAAUAUUUGGAAAAACGUUGUCUAUUUAUUUUAAGCAACAUUUUAAAAAACGUGGGAUAAGUUAUUAAAAUGUGAUUACUUUAGGCAACGUUUUUAGAAAUGUGGAUAUUUAAUUUUAGCAUUUUAGGCAACAUUUUUUAAAAUACGGAAGCUUUAACUAAUAUUUUAAAUAAUAUUUUUAAAGUGAUUAAAUAACUUUUAGGCCAAGUUUUUAAAUUGUGGAUAAUUAAGCCCACGUAGUGUAAAGACUCGAAAUUCACCUUGUCAUUGAGCUCGAAGUUCGGACUCGAGACUAAGACUCUUGCAUAUAGACAUUGAACCAGGGGAAAUCGCGUCUAAACCCUAAGUUGAAACGAGAAUUCAAAGUCAUUUGUUACGAAUCAAGAGCGGCAUUGUGUGAAUUUUGAUCAACGGUUCAAGGUAACCAGGAGAAAUCGCCUCUAAACCCUUAAGUCAAAACGAGAAUUCAAAGUCGUUCGUUACGAACCAAGAGCGACAUUGUGUGAGUUUCGAUCAACGGUUGAAGGUAACUAGGAGAAAUCACGUCUAAACCCUAAGCUGAAACAAGAAUCUGAAGUCGUUCUUUAUGAAUCAGGAGUGACAUUGUGUGAGGUUCGAUCAACGGUUGAAGGUAAACGGUACGUUCUUCAAAUUGAUUCACCCUUCUCCAUUUCAGGUCAAUCAAUUUCUCUGUCUUCGUAUUAAUCUUUUGCUUCCGUGAUGCAUCACAAUUUUUUUUCCUUUUUAUCAUUGUUUUUCAAUCAUUAUGAUUUUUUUAGGGUUGUUUUUCCAUAUGGUUUUGUUAAUUUGCAUUUUUUUAUGAUUCCCAACAGUGAUUUGAUAAUAUAUGUAGAAUUAUGAGUGUUUAUUUUCCUGUUGAGUUGAAGUUUGGAAUGAAUAUUGGUGUUUUUGUAUUUUGGAGUAGGAGGAUCACAUGUGAAGUUAGAUGAGAUGUUGUUAACAAGACGUAACUCAUGUGGGAUUGGAAUAAUUACUCAACCAUAGUAAUAAGCAGCGAAUAAUAAUUUCCUCAACUUGUAAGAAUUUGUGAGGAUCAAUAACAAAUAAUGGCAACAACAAAAAAUACAUUGAAGAAAAAUACAAAAUUAUUAAUGUAAAAAACCUUUCCAAUGUGAGAAGUAAAAAUCACAUACACAAACCAGUCAAUCAAAUUUCACUAUAAUCAAAAUUAAAAGAGAGUAUCAUAUUAGCACAAAUUACCCUUAAUAAUCACGUUCUUAGUCUUCCGAUAGUUGUUUUCGUAUACUUGGAACCUAAUUACUUGAGUGAAGGCUAACACUAGAAGAUUCAACACAAGACCGUUUAACCUACCCACAUUUAUAAUUCAAUUAUUACUAUCAGUUGGAGGAGACAACAAAUAAAUAUCAAGCUAUUAAGGUUAAUAUCUUUUAUCUUCAAUAUACAAGUGGUUGACAGCUGCAACAAUCUCAAAGUUUCCAAGGGCCUUGCCACCUGCACUGAACAAUCAAUGAGAGAGUAAUGAUGUGAUGAAACAAAAAAUGAAAAAAAAAUUGCAGCCUCUUGUAUCAUUCAAUCCUAGUGUUAAAGCUCUUCUCUACCAUCUUGUACUUUUCUGCAGUGGAAAGUUUUGACUUCAGCAAUCCAUCAACUUGGUCUUUUCCCUCUGUAGCAAUGAAUGAUCUAUUUAACAAUACCACUUCCAUUGGACUUAACAAAGCUCAAAUGGAUUUUGUUCAAAACUACCUCAAUACCACUACCAUUGCACUUCUUUCUCUAAUCCUCUUUUGUUUAUUCUUCUACAAUCCCUUCAAUUUUUUUCACACCAAAGAGGCUCCCACUGUUGCAGGAGCAUGGCCAAUACUUGGUCACCUUCCACUUCUGAGUGGUUCAAAGAGACCCCAUAGAACUUUGGGUGCUUUGGCUGACAAAUAUGGACCCAUUUUCACCAUCCAACUUGGUGCCAAAAGGGCUUUGGUAAUCAACAACUGGGAAACGGCAAAGGAAUGUUUCACCACAAACGACAUGGCCGUUUCCUCUCGCCCCAAGCUCAUCGCGAUUGAACUCAUGGGCUACAAUGCCAUGUUUGGCUUUGUACCCUAUGGUCCCUAUUGGCGCGAGUUACGAAAGAUUGUAACUUUAGAAAUCCUUACUACUCGUCGAGUGGAACAACUGCAGCAUGUUCGUGUCUCAGAACUUCAAAACUCGAUCAAAGAGUUGCAUAAUGUUUGGUGUAGCCAAAAGAGAGAGUCUGGCUAUGCCUUGGUGGAGCUGAAGCAAUGGUUUUCUGACCUCUCAUUCAACAUGGUUCUUCGAAUGGUCGUUGGGAAGAGAUAUUUUGGUGGUGAAAACUUGCAAGAUGAGAAGACAAAGAGAUGUGUGAAGGCUGUGGAGGAGUUCAUGCGUCUGUUGGGGGUGUUCACAGUGGGAGAUGCUGUUCCAUGGUUGAGAUGGUUUGAUUUUGGAGGGCAUGAGAAGGCAAUGAAAGAAACUGCGAAAGAGUUGGAUAGUAUUAUAGGUGAGGAGUUAGAGGAACAUAGAAAAAGGAAGGGUUUGGGUGAGAAGGUUGAUGAAGCUCAAGAUUUCAUGGAUGUAAUGAUUUCAUUGCUUGAUGGAACAACUAUUGAUGGGAUCGAUGCAGAUACCAUGAUCAAAUCCACCCUACUGGUAUGAAUGUUUAAUUUACACGUUAUAAUGCUUUUGAAAUGUGAAACUUUAAGAAAAUUAAACACGUAAAUACAACAUAGUUCUUAAUUAAAUCUGAAAUAUUUUCUCAGGAACUUACCUCAGAUAUGAAGAUAUGUAUUUUACUUCGUCGGUUUAAAAUCAGUUGUAUGAAAAUAUAAGGUGUAACACUUUCGUUAAUGAUGUAAAAACAUUACAAAAUUCUUCACGAAAGUGUGUUUUAUCGUCUUUACCGUUUAUAUGGGAUUUGUUUGAUAGUGGGGAGAGAUAUAAGUGUUUUUUGGGAGAGUGAGUAGUGAUGUUGUGAUUGGGGGAGAAAGGGUAGUGAGGUUGAGAAUGGAGAUAUUGAUGGUGGAAAGGGACAUUUGUGGUGUUGCUUGAAUGAAAAUCAAUGGACCACCACUUACAAUUUUUUUUUCUGUUUUCUACUUAGAUUUGGUUUUUGUGAAAAAUAAUGAUAUUUUUGAUAAAAAAAAAACAUGUAAAUUCUACAUCAUUAGUUUAGAAAUUGUUUACUUUUUCGAUGGUGGAAAUAUACAAUGAUUGUAGAACUCAUGCAAAUAAUUCCUAGAAAAUAAAUAAAAUUAAAUAACUUUUCUUGUAAAUUGAAAUUAACUUUAACCUAAGUUAUUUUAAAAAAUAAGUUUUUCAAAGAUAACCUUAAUUUUCUUCCCUGAAAUAUUUUCGUUCGGUAACUUGUUUGAUUUGCAGACAGUGAUUGCAGGAGGAACUGACACAAGCAAUACAGUUCUUAUAUGGACAAUAUCUUUGAUUUUAAGAAAUCCUUUGGUGUUGGAAAAAGUAAAAGAGGAACUAGAUAUUCAUAUUGGGAAAGAAAAAUGCGUAAGGGAAUAUGAUAUAAGUAAGUUAACAUAUCUUCAAGCUAUAGUAAAAGAAACUUUAAGAUUGUAUCCUCCUGUUCCUCUUUCGGUACCUCGUGAAUUCAUAAAAAAUUGCACUUUGCAAGGCUACAAUAUAAACAAAGGAACCCGACUAAUCACAAAUCUUUGGAAGAUUCAUACAGAUGGUAAUGUUUGGGAAGAUCCUUUGGAGUUCAAACCAGAAAGGUUUCUUACAACUCAUAAAGAUAUUGACAUCAAAGGCCAUCAUUUCGAGUUAUUACCAUUUGGAGGUGGCAGAAGAAUGUGUCCAGGAGUAUCCUUUGGACUUCAAAUGGUGCAUUUCAUUCUUGCUAGUUUUUUGCAUUCUUUUGAAAUUUUAAGUUCAUCACCUUAUACUAUAGACAUGACUGAAACCUUUGGAUUAACCAACACCAAAGCCACUCCACUUGAUAUUCUUAUUAAACCGCGUCUAUUUCUUAGUUGUUAUGAAAACAACAAAUCCUUGUAUUAACCACGUGGUUACAUUGUAUUUUUAUUCAAAGUACUUUUUGUUCCUACUAAAUAAUUCAAAGUACUUUUUGUUCCUACUAAAUAAUUCAAAAUACUUGUUAUGUUUGUAGUUCCUCUAAUAAAUUAUUUAAAACGGUGUAUAUUUAUUAUAUAUUUGUAUUUUUUUUUCAUAAAUACUUGUAGUAUUUGUAGUUUAUCUUUGUAAGUUUUGUAACUCUUUCA
rnacentral:lncRNA from 1 species